rnacentral:lncRNA from 1 species
UCCUUUCAUGUGAGUAGAGAUGAUUAUUUCAAGUUCUUGUAGGACACUUGUCUUAAUUUUGAUUGUUUUUUUAUACCUUUUGUGUUUUUUUUCUUUCUCAUCAACAAUUUAGAAGAUCACUGACAACGAGACAUUUGAUGAAUCCUUGUUUUUCACAGUUAGAGAUGGAAUGCAUCAUUGAGAUUUUUUUGAAAGAGAUAUAGCAUGAGAUCAAAAAGAGAGAUUAUUAGGAAUAGACAUGGAUCCUUUUGUUGUAGCAUGUUGUCUUAUGAUAUUUAUUAAGGGGCGCCUUUAUAGGUUAAUGUCAUUUCUGGGCAUAGGCCAACAUGAAGAUGCGAGGCAGACAAGAGUUCAUGGGCAUGUAGUAAUAAAGAGAGCCUGAGCAAAGUGGAGUUGGAUUCUUUCAGUCUUAGAAGAGGUGAUGUAGCUAGCUUGAUAGUUUUGGCAUCUUCUAUUAGCUUACAAAGAAUCAAUAAUUAAUUGUGGUUUUGGGAGGGGAGGAUAAGGUGGUUGGAAUUGGGUUGUAUGGCAUUGGGACUUGAUGAGGCUACUCUGAUGUCUAAAAGGUUGGGAGGUACAUGGAAGUAUGAUGUGAGCCAUGGUUCACGAUGUGCCUUGUGAAGGUUGGGAGGUGGAGGCUUGACAAGGCCAUAGGGUGGUAUGCAUUGAGUGUACCACUAGUUGUUUGUUUAAGACCUUCAAAGGGAAAUAGGAGAGUGAGCAUAUAAUAUAAAAAUUGAGUGAUUUGCUGGGGUAUAUGGGAUUGGGAUGAGCUGGUACAUGUAUUCGCUAGAUUCAGGGCACAAGAUAACAAUGAGGAUGAUAAAGAGAGGUAAAAUGGUGCUUGUAGUAGUUUUGAGAGAUGGAAAGAAAAUAAAGAUUGGGAGAAAGUGGGGGAAAACAGGGUUAUGAAGAGGCAUGAAGAUGUGUUGAAGGUGUACAAGAUAGAGUUUUUGAGUACAGGACACAAAACUUGGGAGUUGAGAGAUUGCAUGGUGCUGCUCGUUUAGAGCUGACCGCAAUGCUUCCUGAUUGAAGAUUGUUGAUCAAGGAUUUGAUGUCACAAAACUUAUUAUGCAAGAAGAUAAUUACGAACAAGAUCUUUAGUAUUAUAUUAAUGCCACAGGCCUAGUUAUAUACUUGAAUACUGGAUCUUAUUUCAGUCCUACAAUGACAUAUACAUCCUGUUUAAUAGCGGUAAGUUUGCUGUUAUUUUGUGAAUAUUAUUUAUAAUACUUGAGUUUCAUUUGUUCGUAUUACAUGGCAAUAUGAUACUUUUAUAUGUGAUUUGCAUGAAGCAUGCAUGGGUAUACGUAGCACAACUGAGAACCAAAUUUCACAAUGGCAUGUCAACUUAUUAAUAUUAUAUCUUCUUUGUAUGUACAAUUUCAUGCCGUGUUCAUGUCUGCAUUUUGAGAAGUUGAGGAGCUUAUUUACCAUGCUCAUGGAUAUGCCUUCAAUGCCAUUUUUUAUGAUUCUUGCUAUGAAACUCCACAUCUGCAGGAGCCUUUUGUAACCAUACAUAAGGAUACCAUCAUGGAAGCUCUCAGAGUCUUACUUGGUACUUAAUUAAGCGGCAUCGUUUAAUUCAAGUUUCAGAUUAAUUUUCUCUCCCAUUCUUUUAUAGUUUGAUUUUGGGCACCGAGCAAUCCAUUUGCUUAACUCCCUUUUUUUUCCCAUUUGCUGGUGUCUCAGAUAUAAGAAAUCAUCCAGUUCUGAUUCACUGCAAACGAGGAAAGGUAUGAAAUUUUGGUCAAAUUAACUUGUUAUUUUAAAUACCUGCAUAUCAUUUUUUUUAACUCUCUGUCUUCCUAUGUUCUGAAAAUACUCGUGUUUCAUUCACAUACAUGAAAACAGCAUCGGACAGGUUCCCUUGUGGGCUGUUUCAGAAAAUUACAGAAUUGGUGCUUGUCCUACGUGUUUGAGGAAUAUAUGCGAUUUGCUGCUGCAAAAGCUCGGGGGUCGGAUCUCAGGUUCAUCGAGAUGUUUGAUGUCUCAUGCAUGAUGGAAUGCGUGCUUGGCAUCAUGUAUCGUUACCAUGGUUGUGGUUCCCAAGCCAGGCGCAUUAGUUACCGAGACAUGUCAUAGCAUACAGCAAUCUGUGCUUGGCAAUCAUACAUCAUCGCCAUGGAUGUAGUUCCCAAGCCGGUCACCAUAGUUACCUGGACAUAUUAUAGGACAGAGGCAUCUAUCAAGCCUGAUGCCCGUUCAUCUCAUAAAUCUCUGUUCAAUUGCUUCCCAGAUUUUGUUUUGGUAGGGAGAAGCAAGUAUUCAGAUUGUACUGCCAUGUCUUUUCUAUUUCCGAUACUGCAUGCAGCAUAUGUUAGGAGUCAUUUUUGGUUGUAAAGAUUAGAUAAACUGAUUCAUGUCGACUUGGUGAGAUAUUAGUUGUUUGCAAAGCUGUGAAAAGUAAUUCUUUCACUUCUUUUGUGUUUGAGAAAAAUGUUACAUUAUUUAAUAGCAUUUGCCCUCGAGAGGAGGACAAAUUAUUCUUCGCACUGUGCAUCACGCCAAUAAGCUUGUCCCCUAACCGUAGGCCAAUCAUCAAGAUAAGCGUACGAUGAAUGGGUCUCACGAGGAGAUGAGGUGAUUGACAUGGUGUACACACGGUGUAGGGUAUAAUUUCUUGUACAAAAGAGGAGUUUGUUAGGGCAUAUAUAUAUAUAUAUAUAUAUAUAUAUAUAUAUAUAUAUAUNNNNNNNNNNNNNNNNNNNNNNNNNNNNNNNNNNNNNNNNCUUUUUGUUUUUGGGAUGUUUUUGAUUAAUCCCAGCUGCCCAUAGCCUUGCUGUUUCCUGGGUAAACACCUUUCCAGGUCGUGCCUUUAACAAAAGGUUGAGCCUUUAACAAAGGCAUGACUACAAAAGGUUUGUACACAUUUUGUGGGAAAUCAAGCAUGCUAGAUAGUUAAGUGCUUUCCAUCACCAAUAAAUCUAGGGGAAUCAAUGAUUUUUUAAUUCUUAGGAUAUUCAUUUAUCUCGUCAUAUUCAUCAGAGCAUGGCCACUUAUUAAAGAUCGGUCGAUUAAAUCUUUUAAGAGUUUGGCCAAUAAAUUUAAUUAAUAACUAAAUAACUCGAUCCCUACUCAUUUCUUAUCGAGCUGAGGAUCAUUUAUGAAGCCUCGAUUUGCAGCCAUACUUGGCUGAUUUCUUAUGAGAUUAGAGUGUCCAUCAUUCUUUUGAUCAAGUUUUGGUCAUAUUGGGAAAUUGAAUUCAUCUUCAAGAAACUCAUAAUUCAAAUAUUCUUCUCAUUGCCUCCUAGGUCCUGGUUGAGCAGGCCUCUUAAUAUCAUUUCUAUUGAUUUUAGGUGUGAGUUGCUUUGAUACACCGACAAUUCUUUUGAUGCUUCUUUCAAUUGCCCUAGUUACUUGACUUUCAUUGGCCUGAAUAUCCCUCUUAGAUGCUUAAUUCCUCAUUAUCUAAAAUAGCCUUGAGAAAUAGUUGCAUAGCAGGAGCCAUCAUCUGGCCAAUCUCUUUUGUGCCAUUCCUUUAGCUGACUUAUGAUGUUGAUCUUGUAGGGACUGAUCGACCAUUUCUUGGCCUUGUGAAUUCAAUGGGAAUUCCUUUUGAUUACUGGAAAUUUCUUCCCCACCAUUAGUAUCAACUACAAUGAGAUCAUUUUGCUCAAGAGGAUUCUCAUUUUCAAGGUCAUUGAUUGUGGUGUCAACAUAUUCUGUAUAACCAUUCCCUAGGGAAGUUUCAUCAUAGCUUACUAUUUAGGUUCCUUUCUUUAGCAUUGUAUCCUGCUAGGUCCCACUGAGCAUGCCAAAAAUAUUUUCUGAGAAACUAAACUAGUAGCCGAUUAGUUCAUUGUUGUGCUAAAUUGAGCAAAUAGAAUUUGGUUGAUUAGGGAACAAGAUUCAAUGUUGUCUUAGUAAGAGGACUUAAAAUUUUGCAUAGGAAAAUGAAUAACAAAAACUAAGAACAAUUAUCAAUAUUAACUUAUAAAAAGAGAAACUACAUAAGAUUUGACUACACAGAAAUAGAGUUACACUGAUUCACCCUAAGAAUAAUAGGCUUACGACCAUCAUGCCAGAGAAGGAGAUAAGGGUCAUAGAUUCUUCUAGAGGAUGCUCAUUAAUCAUUAUGGUUGAAGAUAGAGAGAGCUUGUUUAAUGGUUGUUCUUUUGCUUUUAAAUGUGACAAUUACUAACAACUAAGUAGAAAAUUUUUCAUAGGAAAAAAAUAAUAAAAAAACUAAGAACAAUAAUCAGUAUUAACUUAUAGGAAGAGAAGCUACAUAAGAUUUGACUACAUAGAAAUAGAGUUACACUCAUUCACAAUAAAAACAAUAGGGUUACAACCAUCAUGCAGGAGAAGGAGAUAAGGGUUAUAGAUUCUUCUAGAGGAUGUUGAUUAAUCAUUAUGGUUGAAGAUUGAAGAUAGAGAGAGUUGUUUAGUGGUUGCUCUCUUGCUUUUAAAUCUGACAACUAAUAACAACUGAGUAGAAAAUUUUAUAGGAAAAAGAGUAACAAGAAAACUAAGAACAAUAAUCAAUAUUAACUUAUAGGAAGAGAAACUACAUAAGGUUUUACUACAUAGAAAUAGAGUUACACUAAUUCAGAAUAAGAACAAUAGAGUUACAACCAUCAUGCCAAAGAAGGAGAUAAGGGUUAUAGAUUCUUCUAGAGGAUGCUCACUAAUCAUUAUGGUUGAAGAUAGAGAGAGUUGUUUCGUGGUUGCUCUCUUGCUUUUAAAUCUGAGAACUACUAACAACUUCUUUCAUGCCAAAAAAUUUGUAAUUUAAUAUUGGAUGCCCAAAAAAUUUGUUUCUUUCAUGCCAAAAAAGAGAGAAUCUAUUUGGUUAUGUAAUGAUUGUAGAAAUAUUGUGGAUUAUUACUGCAGAUAGAAUUUGUUGAGAUCUCUUUUGCAAUUGAAAUGAGUGUAUAAAAGUUUUACUAUAGGAAGUUGAUAAACCUUCGAAAAGCUCCAUUAAUUACAUUCCCUCUGAGAAUACCAGUCUUGGUUCAAACAAUUUACUCAUCAUGCCACAAGGUUGAUUGAAGAAAAGACCAAGCUAUCUCAUUAGUGCUCUUAAGAAAAAAAGUCGAAACAUAAUAUUUGUAUUUUCUGAUUAAUAUGGUAAAUGCGACCAUGAUGGAAGAAGAAUGCCAAAUAUUCAAGAUAAGGUUUACUUGAAUGCCAAAAUCUAAGCCAACAAAUUCACCUAAAGUCUUGCUGAGGCAACCUAAAGUCUAAAGAAAGUGUGGGGGCUUCAACUUGCAAAUAGAUAAAGCACCAAAACUUUUUUAGGCAGCUACUAAUAGGCUUAAAGGUGAAGCUGGACAAUAAAACUACCAACAUAAUAAAAGAGAGUUAUCAAGGAGAGGAAUGUAGCUGCUAGCUGCUCUCCCUUCUUUUUUAUUCAAUAGUUGAAUCAUUAGCAUUGGUGUCGAUGUUGUAAACAAUUUUACUUGGAUUAUGCAAGGAAGAACCCACUAUCCUUUUUUUAAUUCCACACCCUGUCUCCAUGAGAAACCCAUGCAUCGUCCAAUUAUAUUGCGGACAUAUUUGGUUGGAAGGAGUUAGGUUCUAAAAUGAAAAACUCAAAUUCCAACCCUUUGGUUUGAGAAAGUCUAAUUCAGAUUCCGAUUCCAAGAGAGAAUAGAAAUACCCCAAACUCUUAGAACCUUAUUGUGACUCUUUUUUAGUUGUCAAAUUUCAUUCUAAUUCUGAUUCCAAUUUCAAUUAUAAACCAAACAUGUGAAGAAAUAUGAUCAUUUCGAUUUUCUUUCUAAAUCCAUCUCAAUUCCAAUUCCGAUUUCAGUUGUUUACCAAACAUAUACUUCUCUCUCUCUCUCUCUCUCUCUCUCUCUCUCUCUCCAUGUCUAGAUGGAAGGAAUUUGCCUUCUCUCAUGUCCAGCUCCCCUCUAAGUUUAUUAGAUUUUGCUUUGAUCAAUGGUACCUUUUAUAACACUCCACAUAGUUUCUUGUUUUAAGCAGAUCGAUGGUUAAAUUAUUUAUUUUAUUAUUAUAUUUAUUUUUUAUAUUAUUUUUAAAUUAAUUAGUUGAUCUACAAUGCAUCAUAUGGCCAUAGAUGCUAUCAAUCACAGCCAUUCAUUUUCUGAGCUUCAUUCAUCAUGCGUCAGUGUACGGUUAAAAUGAGUGGCUGUGGUUAUCACCAUGCGCGGCUAUAAUUUCUCUCAUUAUCCUGGCCCCUACUGCGACUGACCAAAGACCACGGCCACGCUAAAAAAAUCCUUGGGCGAGACCCCUGUGGCUUUCGCCUACCGCCUUUGGCCCACUUCUCUCCCAGUUUUGGGACCUGAUAAACGAUAGACGUGGACGCCGAAGAAAGGGACGGCCAUGAUGAAAUUUCGCCAACGUCCCAUUGAUUUGAUCGCACGUCAAUCAAUUAUCUUGUACGAUUCUCAAAAUUCGUGCGCAGCGGGAAACAACGACUGGGAUGAAAUCAGAGCCGCCCAUCUCUUAAACGCUACCGAAUCAAGUGGCCUGCCACUAAUUAAACGGUGCAGAGGAUAAAGUAUAGCUUAGCUGGCCAUCUGUACCUUCCCCCGUGAUGGCAUUAAGUUGUAACACCGCAAUUUGUCUCUGGUCGGUUGAUGAUUGCAAUGAUAAGACUUAUUAUUCCAUAGAAAUCUAGUCUAAACCACAACCAGCCAAAUAAUAAUAAUAAUAAUAAUAAUACACAUUUGCAAAUUCAAAGAUUUUUUUUUUCUGUAAUAAAUGUUUCGUACAAAUCGGAUACGAAUAUAUCCAAAAAAAAUCAAAAGAUAAUAAGUCCGGAAGUGCACCGAAUAAUUUUCUCUCAUCUAGCCAGAAAAUCUUUAUACAAUGCUGAGGCACAUACGAGACUAUCUAAUCUGCUGCUUUGUUGGCCUCACAAUACGCAUGCUUUGCACCUGGAUAUUCUUGAGCAGCAGGUGGUGCUUGCCCACCUCCUCUACACCUUGCUGAAUCCAAUCAAAAAUUGUAGCCGAAUCACUUUCAAAGGAGAUUCAUCGUCUAGCAUUUUAAACCUUUUUGUAAUAUUGCCUUUCUGACAUUAUGUGUAUUAAUAGAUUACUAUUUGACUCGAUACUAAAACUAUAUACGAAUCAAAUUAGUUUCUUCUUGCAUUGAAAGAAUACUGAUAUAAGAUCAUUACUUGGACCAAUGGUAAAGACUUGGUAUAGAAUGACGUGGAUUUCAAUUAUGGAAUAACUAUUCUGUAUUAAAAUUGUCGGUGGCGGUUAGAUCUGGCCCAAAUUCACCUCUAUCAGAAUUCUGAAUUAUAGAGCAUAUAAUCGGAUAUGUAGUUUACUGAAAGAAUUUUUUUCAUAUAUUAUAUAUAUAAAUGAUAGUAAAUGAACAAUAUCGUUGCGAAAGAUGCUAUCUCUUACUCAAAUUUAUGCAAGCAAAUUAGAAUAUAUCUAAUGAUCUAAAUAAAGCAAUAAUGUAUUUGUGAUAUUUGUUUCAUUAAGCCUAUUAAUUAUUGGAAUCAUCUAAAGUUUCAGUAAAUACUGCUUUUAGAGGUAGGAUGUGAUGGUGAGUUUAAAAGGUCCUUCCCUAUGCAUAGAUUUAAGUGUAGUACUACAGAAGAGGUUCAUUAAUAUCUCUUUAGGGUGCCAAUUCGUUUGAUAUGAUAGCCACUAGCACUGUACAGCCCUAUGCGGUCAGAAGACUCCGACUCAAUUGUGGAGCCUAUCAUACCUUUUUAUCAGGAGUAAAGCAGAAGCAAAAAAGAGAAGGAUAUGGCUUUAACUUCAGCGAUGGAUGAAUUCAGUUUUUAUGACACCGAGAAUUACAGGAUUAUUUUUAGUCUUCGANNNNNNNNNNNNNNNNNNNNNNNNNNNNNNNNNNNNNNNNNNNNNNNNNNNNNNNNNNNNNNNNNNNNNNNNNNNNNNNNNNNNNNNNNNNNNNNNNNNNNNNNNNNNNNNNNNNNNNNNNNNNNNNNNNNNNNNNNNNNNNNNNNNNNNNNNNNNNNNNNNNNNNNNNNNNNNNNNNNNNNNNNNNNNNNNNNNNNNNNNNNNNNNNNNNNNNNNNNNNNNNNNNNNNNNNNNNNNNNNNNNNNNNNNNNNNNNNNNNNNNNNNNNNNNNNNNNNNNNNNNNNNNNNNNNNNNNNNNNNNNNNNNNNNNNNNNNNNNNNNNNNNNNNNNNNNNNNNNNNNNNNNNNNNNNNNNNNNNNNNNNNNNNNNNNNNNNNNNNNNNNNNNNNNNNNNNNNNNNNNNNNNNNNNNNNNNNNNNNNNNNNNNNNNNNNNNNNNNNNNNNNNNNNNNNNNNNNNNNNNNNNNNNNNNNNNNNNNNUAUAUAUAUAUGCACAACAAAAUAGAUGCUCAAAAUUAAUAGAAAAAAUUUAUGUGAUAAUUAUUUUUCAAAAAUACCUUUAAACUUUUAGAUAGAAUGAAAUAAAAUCUUUUUUAUUAGAAAAAUAACAAAUAUUUUAUUUUUUAAAAUUAUAUGCUUAAUAAAAUUAAGUCAUUUCGUAAUAUAUCAUUUCUUUAAUGAUCAACGAGACAUGUAAAAAUUAUUAAUAUCAAUUUUCUUUAAAAAUAUUUCAAUCAAAAAAAUUCUUCUCAUGAAUUAAACGGAUUAUAAAAAAUUGUAACAAAAAUAAAAAAAUAAAAAAUAAGAGACAAAACAGCUCUUCAAGAGCGAGAUUUGAUCUUAUCCUUUUGCUCCUGUUUCCCCCUCGAUCAGAUAAAAAAAAUAAAAUAAAAUAAAGCAGUUCAUGACAUGACCAAAGAGCACAGCGUACCGUCACGUUAUCUGGUGCCAAUCCUAUUCUUUUUUUCUGUUCACACGUCAAAAUGUGGCAUACCCGUGAUUUCCCUUCCUCCCAUGGGCAAUUCCGUACUAUCGACCGCUCUCCCUCCGCUUUCGAAACGGGACACGUUUCGGCCCGGUGCGCCCUGGAGGACCACGGCCGUCCGGCGAACUUGACACGUUCCCGUCUCCCUUGACCCCAAGUCCUUCCUUCCUUCCUUUUUUUUCUUUUUACCUCCUCUUUUUCCUCCACCAGAUAAACCUUAGAAAUAAAAACUAAUCUCGUAUUAUUAUCCGGAAUAUAUUUCUUGUUAUUAAUCGCUCCUCGCCGUCGUUUCGCUCAUCGUCUUCUUUAAAGCGGACGAGGAUGGGUGCGACUCCCUCCGUCUCUAUCCCUUCGGCUCCUUCCAGUUUCUUCUGGAAGCUUCGCCGGCGCUCUCGUUGGUCGCGGUAUGGCGCUCUCUCUCGCUCUCUCGGGGAUCCAGGUAUCCAUCUCGCUGUUCUUCUAUCUUUUGCUUGUUCUUGGAUCGGAGAGUGGGGUUUGAUAUUCGUAAUUUGGAGAUCUGGUGGGGUGCAUCAAGAUUUUAGACCUUCUUCGCUUCUUUUCUUGUUUGGCGGGGAAUUUUCUGGAAAUUAGUUGGUUUUCUUGAAUUGAAUGAAUUGAUUUUCUUUGAUAUGGGUGCAGUGUUCGGCUCUUGCUGCAAGAUCUCCGUUGAUGAUGGAUUCUUGAACCUGUUGUUUCAGUCGUUGCCGAUUUUAACCCGUCUUUCUCCAUCUUAAACGGAUUUUCCCUUUUUUUAAAUCAUUUUUCUCUUUCCUCGAGGGUGAGAUUUCUUGUUUUGAUGCGAGAUCUUCGGUUUUGCUGAAUUUAUGGCAACUCUUUAAUAUUUUCAUGUUUCAGUCGGUGGUGUUGUUGGAUUUGAAGCGCUUCUUAAUUAUUCGACUGGUUAGGGUGUCGCUCUCUGGUUGGAUGAUAGAUUUGGUUUUGGUUUUGUGGGGACAGAUGAUGGUGGAUUUGUGCUUCGGCCUGGCUUUGGUUGACAACGAGAGAGAGCACGCUGGUCGGCAAUCAUGCUUGGGGCCAUGAGUGUGUACUGGCGUGCUCCUUCUCGUUGUCACUCAGCUUCACCCAGCAAAGCUGCUUCCUUUUGUUCUUGGACUUCAUAGUUGGUGCUAAGCAGGCAACGUUGCUUCAGUCUAUUGGAUGGUAUUCAUCUCAUUCUAUGCUGGAAACUCACAACAACUGGAUAUAUGCUCCGUGUUAUGUGCUUACUACGUUUCCCCCUUAUUUGAACUGAUGUUGCUUUACUGGGUGACUGAUUCUUGUUUGAUAAUUUUCUGAUUCUGGUGAAUUAUUGCGUCAUGUUUUCUAGUUCCCAUAAACUGAAAGAAGUGUCUGAAAUUGUUCAAGAAACAAUCAAAUAGUAGGAGAUCCUGAAUCGGUUGAUCAGCAUUGAAAUUGUGGAACAGUAUUUUGUAUGCAUUUGCUGGAGAAAAUGGGUGCUGAUCGCCUGUGUUUUUUUUCUCCCUUUCCCAGCCUUACGGUCCUGCUUUUAUUAUUGUAUGGUGAAUCUCAUUUCAGGAGUUGUCCUUUCAUUUUUUUUAAUUGAGGGGCCAAUUGCUGAAUGUGUUCCCGAAUAUAUUUGCUGGAGCAUGCCACAUGUUCAUUCUUGGUAUGGGUCAUUUUAUCAUUUUGUUUUCUAUGAACGAUGCUUCCUAAUGCCUUAUGGUCCUCCUCUUAUUAUUGUAUGGUGGAUCUCAUUUUAGGAGGUGCCAUAUAUAUUUUUUUUUCCCUUGAGGGGCCAAUCUCCUGUAUGUAUUUACUUCAGCAUGCCAUUUUUAUUCUUGGUAUUUGUCAGUUUAUCAUUUUGUUUUGAUGAAUGAUGCUUACUUAUCGCAUGAUGCUCUUGUGGGAUUCUGAUAGUUAUGUGCUAUUAGUGCUGCUUCAAUUAGAUUGACAGGUGCCUAUGUGAUAGUUUAUCUCAUAAAUGUACUCCUUCUGUGCAUUUCUUGCUAUGUUUUUCUUAUCCUCUACGUAUUUUCUCCAAGUGUAUGAUAUUGCAGAUAUGAUGUUUUAAUACUUCUGUUGUAAUGAUGCUAUGCGUCGCUUAAGGUACAUUUUUUUUCCUGAAACUGCAAAUGGAAUCAGCCCAAGAUUUAUUUCAUAUUUCUGUCUUGGCUUGAGCCCUCGAUUACUUUAGCUGAUCCAGAUUAUUGUCAACAUUUCAUUUUUAAUUCCUUCAGUAAUGCGAUUGAUAUAAUGAUAUCUUCUUAUGGAUUAGAUACGAGGACAAUCUUAGAUACGAGAUAUCAGAUAUUUGAGAUUUAAGUGGACGAAGCUGACAUUUAAAGGGGGGAAUGGAGAUAACGAUCCUUAGCAGCUUUGCUGUGUAAUUUAUCUACAUAAGUGGGUAAAUUAAAAAAGCAAAAAGAAAAAGUGAACCAAGCCAUAAUGGUGCUGAUGGCUUCAUGAUAGAUAUUCAUAAAGCUAUCAUAUAGAUUGUUGAUCAAAAUCAGCAGAUUAUAAUAUCUGUACAAGUGAAAGUGAUCAAUAAACAUUAAUUUUCUUGAUUAGGCACUGACACCUGAUCAACUAUGGACAACAAGAUCCUUUGAUCAACACAACACAAUCGUAUUCCUUGGACCAAUAUUUGAGCAUCAAACACUUCCUAGAUGCUUUUAGUGAAUUUUGAUGAGAGGAGAAUCUGCGGGUGCAUUUGGUUCGCGGCCGAAGUCGGAAUUAGAAUAUUUUUAAGUAAGUUAUUGAAAAAUCAAUUAAGUAGAAUGGCUAUUUUUGGAAAAUUAUUUUUUAAAAAUAAACCUGGAGGAAUAGGAUUUGAAUUUUGGGGGAAAAGUUGGGAUUAGGUUUUGGGGGAUUAGGGCAUUUGUGUUCUCUCAUGGUAUGGAAAUGAGAGUAAGACUCUUCCCAAUCAAACGGCUAGAGUGAGAGUCAUUCAUUCUCAUUUCCAUUCCAGAGCCCAAUUUUUCUCAACCAAACAUACUCUCUUAUAUAGAAAAUACCAAUUAUUAUCACUCUGUAAUGAUUCAGAUAACCUUACUAUAAAUAGUUGCAGUCCACAUAGUCUUCAUAGGAAGUUGAUUAGAUGUACUAUAUAGGUGCAUCUAUGUGAAUGUAAUUAAAGAUAUCCCUUAGAAUUAUAGAUUGUAGUAGGCACAGGCAUUUGGUAAGAUUGUUUAGUGUGAUAUAUCUCAAUAUACAAUGUGCUAGAUUUGUUUGGGCAUCACUUUAUGUAAAUCAAAGGAAUAAUAAUAUAAAAUGUCAUACGAUGGUAUCACUAUAUAUCUGCUAUUUGUAGAGUUACUAGGAACUAGGGCCACGCAAUGCAUGUUCUAAAAAACAAAUAUAAAAUUUUGAAUUAUAUCAUAAAGAAAUUGUGAAGAGAAUAGUGGGAUCUCUCUCAUUUUUUUCUAUGCUAUUAUCCUUAAAAAGAGGGAUUAGAAUAAAUCUAGUUUUGGAUCAAUGAGGAAUAAAAGGAACCAAAAUAUCACCUUCCUAAAAGCUACGGAUUAUAAUCCAAUCCAAUUAUUCUCUCUCUAGAACAUCUAGGAUUAUUUAAAUAGGAAUUAGUUAUGCAUUCUAGAAAAGUGGAAGUUGCAUUUUUUCGAUAGCAUAGAAGAGAAUGGAAGAGGAGGGACAAGAAAGGGGAAGAGAAUAGGAGGAGAUGCCAAAUUUGUCGACAUAAUUAAGCAAACCUCUACUUUGAUAUCGCUUAAGUGUUGCCUAUGUCUAUGACUUGACAUCUUUUUAAGCUUUAUUUACAUGCUUGCAAAUGAGGGCAAAUCUUUUCAUCGAACCUAUUUGGAAGUGGUCUAUGUAGUACCUUGGUAAGCAUAUUAGAAAGGAGAUCAUGGUGAAGAAUUCAAUUUCUGGCUUUGUGCGAUGCCUUACAUUGCAUAAUUUUCUCUAGAUAGGUUUAUUGCAUAAUUCAAUGACUAAUGAGCUGAAGAGUAUUACAGGAGACUUAUUUGAAGUUGAAAUUGUCAUCCAUUCUUUUACUUGGUGGGCUCAUGAUGGCUUCUUUGGAGGCUUUAGCAAGUUCCAUUUGUAUGGUUGAGUAGUUUUUGUUUUAACUCUUUGUUGUUGUCGAUCCCUUUCCACCUAUUGUGUCUUCUACCUCGGCUAUUCGUUUGGUCUCAUCUGCUUUUCGAAGUCUCAAAUUAAUUAGCAAUAAUGAGGUCAGAUCAUUUGACCAUUUCGCUUAUGCUACUUCCAACUGGACACAACCGUUGAAUUUUGGGUGUGCCUAAUGUAGAAAAGACAUCUUAUUGCUUGUAAGUAUAGAAACCCAAAGAUUUUUCAUAUUCAGGUCAAAGGCCAAACAAGAACUUGAUAGUCGAUGAUAGUCUCUGUCUUGAAUUGAAAGAUUCAAUUCCUAAAUUCAAUUGAAAACCCAACAGAGAUUUUAUCUUCACCGCAUCUGGUUUCUCCUUCAAGGUUUUAAUUAAUAUGAUACUGAAGCUCUUUUAUGGCUGCCUACUUUCUGUAGCCAUUCAUCGUAUGGCAUCAUCAUGCCCUUAUUUGUCCACUUCAAAUCCACUUGGUGUAAAAGUUAAUGAUUUUUACCUUUCACCAUAUAAGUUGCCUUUUUGCUCAUUGACCACUGCAUAUAAUUCUACCAUUUAAUUUGAUAAGGUUAUUAGCACACAUGGGAUUGCUCACAAUAUUUAGGUUUGGCAAUGCAUCUACCCACCAAAUUCUGUAAGCACAUACGAGUGCUUCUCUUUUGGGUGGCGGAGCACACAAUGCUGUGUGAUUAGACCUUUACUUUAAUGCUAUCCAAAAUUUUCUCCUUUUCACCAUGUCACUUUCAACAUGACAAAUUUGGUGGCGUAGCACGCAGUGCAACAUUUUCUCCUUUUCGCCUUGUCAUUUUCAACAUGACAAAUUUGACAUAACCUAUGUAAACUACAUAUAAAUGGAAUGAAAAAAUGGUUGAAAAAUUUAAUAUCAAAUUUAUGCACAUUAUAAUCUUUAUAUAAGAGAGUCGUUAAAAAGCUUCGCAAAAGAAGGCUCACAUUUGUCAUGCCUGUGCCAGCCAAGCUGGAACAGUAUUCAUAUUGUGCCAUUAGUAUGCUGGCACUUUGGCAUACAGUAAGACAAAACAAUACAUAAGAUGUCUUAUAUUACUUUAUUUGAUCCUUUCUUGAACUUAAAGUGGUCCUGUGAAAAAUGCUUACAGAUAAAGCACACGCUGUAUUUGUGGAUACUGUGAGAAAGUCAUAUGCUGCCUCUCAUGGUAUUCAGCUUCUCUAUCUACAUCAUUGUUACGUCCCACCAAAAUGAUUGGUAGACAUAGAGAGGGGGUAGGUUGUGCAUAUCCCGUACCUAUAUGUUUAAUAUAGGUUUUUGGACUCAUAUGAACCAUGUAUAUAUAUUGAUUUCUAGAUGUUGAUUCAUUCAACUAUCUGAUAAAUAGGAUGCCAACUAUAUAUGAACUAAGUAUGCACAAUCUGCAAAUAAUAACCAUACUUAUUCGAUGUGAGAAACAUUAAAAGGCCCACUUGACUUGUUUUUUUUUAUCUUCAUCAGUUUAUUUGAAUCAACUUGAAUUUGAUUCCAUCAGUCAUGUGUUGCCUCACCAAGGAUUUAAAAAAACAAAGAAACAACUUGAUGCAAUAUUAGAAUCAAAUCGAAAAAUUUUAUCUUCUCUUUAGAUUGAUAUUGUUUAACUAAUUAUAAAACUUAUAGGAAAAUUUAUAAAGGAGAAUCCGAACAUCUUAGACAUAUCUUCCAACCUUCUCUCUUCCCUGAUAGCAAGCUUUUCACAUCUCCCCCCCUCUCUCUCUUCCUCUUCCCCUACACUUAAAUGAGGUUGACUUUAGAGCCCCUACUACACAUCGGUCCUUCCUUUCUUGUAUCACAAAAGGUGGGACAAGGAGAAAGAGGUAGUGAAAGGUUGAGGAAAUUGUGGUUUAGGAGAGAGAAGAGUGGAGGGUAGAGGUAGGGGAGUGAAGAAGAUAUGGUGGCAGGAAUGAGUGGAGAUCAAAUAUCGAUGAAAUUCUUGGAAGAGUCUUUUUUUUUUUUUGAGGGGGGUGGCGGGGGAGUGGGGGGUGAGAGGCGGUUGUAGCAAUGGAGAUGACUCCAUAUUCGACAGAUGGGAGGAGGAGCUAUUUUAUGAUAUUUUAUACCUUUUUAGAAACAUUUCUCCUUGUGGUUAAAAGUUCCAAAAAAGCCUAUUUCUUAUAAUACACCACAUAAAUGGAAUAUAAGUCUGGGUGCUAAGAUUUCUUGGUCUUAUGGCAUAGUUUCUUCAAAUUUAGUGACUUUCCAUGUCCCUCUAUAAAAAAUUGAAAAACCACACUACCCAACAUGGAAAAAAGCAACUCUCAUACACAAUAUGGGCCAACACAAACUUUGAGCAACAUGUUGUCUAUGCAAUGCUAGUAACCAUGGUCCACCAUAUUGGCAUGUACUAUCUUAUACCUGGUGUAUCGUACCAUGCCGGUACCAAAUUGAGACUCAGUAUGGGAGAGCCUUUGUUCGCCGAACCGACCCGUAUUGGGCGUACUAACACUAUACCAGCGUGGUAUUGGUACAAAGUCCGAUAUCGAGAUGACAAAUCUUGCUAGCAACCUUUUAGCGUAAUAUGCAGCCAUUUUGAUAUCUUAUAAUCUUUCAUUAGAUUUAUGUAGUUCUAUUCUAUAUUGUAUCUAUACCAUUUACCCAAGGAGAUGCCAUAUAGAAAUAAUCUAUUUUAGAAGGAAGGAAUAUAGUGAUGAAAUUCUUGAUUGGAUCUUCUCAUAGGAACAAUCUAUUGUGUACCACACUACCCAACAAGAAAAAAGGAACCCUCAAACAUAGCAAUAUGAGCCAAAGCAAACUUUGAGCAAUAUGUUAUCUAUGCCAUGCUAGUAACCUUUAAGCAUAACAUGUAGCAUAGUGUAUGGUGCAUAUUGACUAAUGCUUUGAUUUUGCAUUGGAUCAACUUUAUAGGCACUCUUUAAUUCAUGUUAUAGGUCUUUUGAGUGAUAGAUUCUCUAUGUACAUUCCAUCUUUACUUAUCCUCACAAAAGAAUAUUCUUGAGGUUAUUUAUGGUGGGGUCAAAUGUGCUAAUUGAAUUGCUAACCAUUUCGCUGCUCAGCAACAUCGGUUGCAUUAUAGGUUGGCUUAGAAAGACAAGGUAUUUAGUAGAUGCUGGCCUACUUUGGUGGUGGCAAUAAAGGUGUGGCUACAUGUCUAGGAGCAACAUGGCUUUGUGCUAGAAGCUAAGUCCACCUUAACAAGCCCACAAGGGCACUAGGAUCCUAUAACUCUAGGGCUGAAAUUGAAUCGAAUUCAGAUUGGAUAUCCGUAUAUCCAUAUCCAUGUUUUAUUUGACGAAUAUUGAUAAGGAUAUGGAUAUUAGUCGAAUGCAAAGAUUCAUAUCUAUAUUUAUUUUAAAUGGAUACAGAUACUGGAAGUAUGGAUACAAAUAUGGAUAUAAGUCGGAUAACUAAACAUUUAUGACCAUAGACUGAAAGUUAUUACUAAAUGGAUGAUAAAUUAAGUUAAUAGCAUGUGAAUGUAGUUAUAUAUUUUUCUUAAAAGUUCAUAAGUGCUAUAUAAAAUUAAAUAGGGUUACAAAUAGAAUCAGAUAUUCGGAUACAGAUUAGAUAGCUAUCUAUUCAUAUUUAUAUUUAUUUUUCUUUAGCAGAUUUGAAUACGUAUACGGAUAUUAAUUGAAUUCUCAAAUUUUUAUCCAUAUCAUAGAUUCGAAUACAAAAAUAGAUCAGAGCGGAUAUUAUCCGGUCCACUUUCAUCUCCAUAUAACUCCUUGUGUCCACAUGCCUCGAAACUCCUUAGGGCUCACUCUUCUUGAGAUAUGACCAAGCUGGAUUUUGUUGGCUUCCAAAAAGCUUCCAAUCAAGGUUUAUUGAAUUGAUGCGUCUUGCCCGUAUUGGGCAUACCCUUCUAUAUCCAGCAUAUUAUACCGAAUACCGAGCCAAGACAAUUUUAGUAUGCCAAAUCGAACCCUAUAUCGAGUGUACCGAUACUGUACCGGUAUGAUAUCGGUCUAAAGUUUGGUACUUAGAUGGCGAAUGUUUCUUCCAAUACUUCGUGUGGCAUCGGUCCUGCAUGUUCACUAGGACCAACUAAUCAUGGCUUAUGCAAUUAGGCUUUCUAACACCAUUGUCCAUGCUAUAGAGCUUAAAGUGGCCCAAGAGAGGAUCAGCUAUGCUUUUGAGCACUUACAGGGACACCAUUAUGGCUCAAGAGGGGCGUAACAACAGUGAAGGGAUGUCUUUGUCAAUGUUCAGACCUUUCUGGUGUGCCUACUUGACAUAUGGCUUCUUUCAUUGGCUAGACCAAAUGUUCACGUUUGACAUAUUUAUGGGGAGGCUAAUAAGGCAGCCAGUUAGGUUGCUCACCGAGCAGCCGAUCAUGGGGGAGUCCUUUCAGGGUCUAAUCUUUGACGAUGCAUAUUGAGGGGUAUUCGAGGGCUGAAAAAGAGGUUUUUUGAAUUUAUCAAAAACAGAGAGGGUUGUUUUUACAUGAGAGUUGUUUAUAUGCAACUCUUACCACAAAAAAUGGCAGUAGCAUAUGCUUUGAAAUCUUUGUAAGAAAGUCCUGGUUCAAAAUGUGUCCAUUAUCUUCUCUAAAUUUAUGUUGUCAGAAUCGGAAGUAGGUGCAGCAGUGGAUGCAAAGAAAUGAUAUUUUAGAAAUGCUUUUAGCAAGAAAGUGCAUGAAAGUGGCUGUAGAUUCCAAAGGGUACAUUAUCGUAGAUAUAAGAUUUUGAGUCCCGAUAGCUAGGGCCUAAAUCAUAUGAUGAGGUUUUAAGUGCCACUGACAUAUAGGGUGUGUGGUUGACAUAACAAUUGCUGUAUGCUGUGUUGACAUACCAUGUACUUGAUUCAAUGGGCAUGAACAUAGUGGCAAUAGCAGUCGUUUUUUAGUGCGGGCAUGGGUUUUUCAGUUCUUCUUUAUUAAAAGUUUUUUAUCCUUGACUCUUCCUUAGUUAAAGAGUAUCCUUGUCUGGUAUCAGGUGGGUACUUUCAUAUGAUAUGGUGGACUGUGUUGGCUGGUACAUACCAUAUUAAAAUAAUUUUAAUUUUUUAGUUUUCCACUAUACCUUCAUGGCUUAUGGUAGUUUUUAUCGAUUAACUUUUGGUAGUUUUUUUGGUUACAGGUUAGAGAUACAGGUUAUAAGAUUGAAAAAUAAAAGAAUAUUCUUUCCAAAAAAAGUAGAAGAAUAAGAAGAUUAAAAAUGAAAUGAACUAUGAUUAAAAAAAUAUGGAGAAUAAUUGGAAAUACAACACUUAGGAGAGCAAAUAAAUGGAACUCACUCAUUGCCAGUUUCGUAUAGUUUCUUUGGGCCUUGUAGACAUCCAGGUCAUGUGCAUAUUGGGGCCCUUGGAUUAGUAUCAACAUGGAUAUUGUUCUUAUCUCUAUUGCUAAUAAUUUGGCUGUUAGUGUCCUAGAUAGUAACUAUGGUACUGAUACUUUAUUUGAUACUAGCCUAUCAAUCUAGCUUGACAAAAUAGGAGGCAGCAUAAUUGUAGGAGCAUAUGAUUGUGGAGGAUCAUAUUAGCCAGUAUAUUUCAGACAAUGCAUAUUUGACCGUAGGAGGCACCAAUGGAUCUGAAACUAUUGUCCUGCCUAUGUAUUAGACCUUGAGAUGUCCAGGAGACAUACUCGGCAUGUGCAUCAUUGGUAUCACCAGCUGCAUUUCAUAGGUGAGAUCUCCUGGCUCUCCUAUGGUGUUACCUUGCAUUUUCUACGAUCUUUGCUUAGCACUUGUUCUAGAACAAUUCUCAAGUCCCUUCGAUAUGAUAUUUUUUCCUCCUUCCAUCUAUAUCAUCCUCGUGCUUUUCAUGGUUCUCAUCCUGCAUGGCAUGGUCGUACAAGGGCUCACUGGUAAAAUUCACUUGUAGCCUUACCCUGGCCAUCAAACCCAUCACUUGCCAAUCUAUGAUUAUCAUGAGAUGACCUAAGCAAGCCAUUGCCAGAAGAAUCAAUAGUCUUGUUGCUUGAUCAAACAAGUUCCUUAAUCUACUUUUUUUAAGGGCUUCACAGCCUUCUUUCCCUUCUUGCUCAUGGUCUAACAGGAUGUCUUACCCUUACUGGCCCGUCCUUCUAGCUCCCCUGAGUGGCUCAACUAGCCACAACAUUAGCCUCCUCGAUUGGCCUAUCUUCUAUUGCUAGGCACAGGUAACCUGCGAGGUUGGUGUUUUUUGUUCUGCACACAUUGAUCAACAUCUUCAUCCAUUGGCUCUGUGAAAAAAGUAGUCAAUCUAGAAGAAUGUCAUGCACAUAUUCUUUGUCGCAUUUUUUAAUUCUUCUAUCUAAAAAAUUAUAUUUCUAAAGAACUAUAGUGAAAAGUAAAAAAAUAUGCCCUUGUGUAGAUCAUAGUUAGGAUUACAACAUAUCCUAAAAUCAAGCAAGAUAGAAAAAUUGUAUGAUUUUCAAUCUCAAAAUUUAUAUUCUAAAAAACUAUAGUGAAAUUAAAAAAAUUAUGCCCUUGCGUGAUCACAGUUAGGGUUAUAACAUAUCAUAAAAUCAAGCAAAAUAGAAAAAAUGCAUGAUUUUAAUCUUUUUUUUUUAGAAAACAAUAGUGAAAAAUAAAAAAUUGUGCCUUUGUGCAGACCAUAGUUUGGUUUGCAACAUAUCAGAAAAUCAUAGUAAAAUUCAAAUACAGUAUGAUUUUCAUUUAUUUUCUAGUCACUUUUUGGCAAAAAAAGGGAGUGAGGAGAUUUUACCUCCAUGGCCGAUAGCCCAAGAUUCAAGGAGGUAAAAGUGGUUGUUUAAUGCACUAAAGACCACCCCAACGGUUGCACUUUCCAUCUUGUCUCCUAAAUCCUAUAUGCUCAGCGCCUACAUUUGGUGACAAAAAAAGUCUUUCGAUUUAGUUGAGUUGGUGGGUGCUGAUUUGUAGCAGUAGAUAUGGAUCAGUUGGAACAUGUUUGGGCCUAGACCCAUGUUAACAUCCAGUUCUAGCCCUCUUCCUCUCAAGUAUGAGCUAGUAUACCUUGUACUGGCUGGUUUGGGCUGGUUAACCUUGGUUUUAUGCGUUAAAACAACAUCUUAGACCCUCAUAGAUUUCAUAUAAUAGAAAAUUUGGGUACAUAUGUGUGUUGACUAUUGUAUAAUGUGUUUUAGAGAUAUAUGAUAUCUUAACAAUGCAUUGAAAUUAAUUUAUUGAGAGUCCUUGAUUAUAAUGGACAACAACCAUUGGAUAAAAACUUUUGAGACUAAGAUUUGUGCUGAUAGUAUCAUAUUAUAUAAAAUCUUUUGAAGUCUAAGAUGCUGGAAGUUUUCUAAGUGGACUUUUGCAUAGAGGCGAAUCUAGGGGUAGGGACCUUUGCCCCCCCUCCCCCCUAAUCAUUAUAGUACAUUAAUAGAUUAGAGAGAGAGAGAUGGAUUAUGCUCCUCCCGAUAGGAGAUAAUAUCAACUUCUCCCGAUUUCUAAAUCAAUAAUGGGGUGCCCAAAUUUAGGAUUCACAAUAUUUUAUCAUGAUCUAUAUUAUUAAUAAUAUUUUACAACCAAAAUCAUAUAUUUUGAUAGUCUCUAAUCUAUGCAUCAUGUUGACGCAAAAAUGGAUAGCUUUCAUUGUACUAGUGAGAUAAAGCAUUUAGAUUGAGAAGAAAGCAUAUUGAUCAUGUUAAAACAUGUGUAGAUUGCAAAUCAAUAGAUCUUAAUGGUGUGAUCAUAGCGAAACAUGGUCCCAUACCUUUUUAACUGUUUAUUUUCGCACAAAACAUGUAUUUUUUCUUUUGUUUCUAACAUGGGUGUUUAGUGGUAACAAGUCAUGAUUAAUGGAAUGAAUCUUCAAUAUAGAUGCCCAAUUGUUGAUUUUGGAAUCGAGAGGAAUGGUUAUCCUCUCCUUUCAAGAUGAGUAUAGUCUCUUAUGUAUAAUAACAUACAUAUAUACAUGUAUGUGUGUAUGACACCAACCAAUUUGGCUCUGGCCCCUUACAAAAAUUUGGAAUACCAUGCCCCUUCCUGCACACCCACCCACUAGACAUCAUGUCAUUUGAUACAUGUUCUUUUGUUGUUAUUGUUCCAUAAUUCUACAUACCUCCAAUUAUAUGACUUCUCAUCAAAUAGGAAAUUAAAUUUUAUAUUGUAAACAAUAUCCUUAUUAAAGAUUGGCAUAAAUCAAAUAAGGAAAUGUAUUGUGUAAGCUAUCUUUAUUAUUUUAUGACCAAAUAGAAGAAAGUACUCAAGUCUUGCCACUGAACUACAUGGUCUCCCUCUUGGACUUGUCACCACCACAAAUGACUCUCAUUUUUAUUGUUAAAGGCUUUUUCUGUUGGAAUUUAUUUUAACUUAUGUUUGAUUAACAAAUUAUUAUAUUUCAUGUCGUUACUUUAUAGAUAUCAUAAUCUCCUUCCUUCCUUUCUCAUCUUUAUUGCUACUCCUCUUUCUUCUUGUCACCUAUAGAUGUAAAUCCUUUUCUCAAAAGGCCUCCUAAACCUCCUGUUCUUUCCUUAAUUGCCAACUGAAAUAUAGUCAAACACUUAUUUCAUUUUAGCAUCUUACUGCAUUUCAGGUUCUCCUCUUUUUUGUUGGCUGGCAAUGAUGUCAUACCAAUAAGUUCAUGUUCAUCUAAUAUAAGUUGGAAAACUUGGUAACACCAAGAUUUCUUUAGGGUAAGAUACAAGAGACACCCUGAUGUAAAACAGAAGCAUGAUAAAAUUCAUAACCAUCGAGACCAGUAAGAAUGAAAUGCCCUCUAAUCGUCUUUUUUAUUAAAAAAAGUAAAAUAGAAAAUUAUUUACCGAUAAUGAUAUUUACCAAUGCGACAUAAAGAAGCCAUGACAACUAAUUAUUGUACUUAAGUAAAGGCGAGCUUGUUCGAAAAAUAAAAGCAUGAACUCUCUUUUGUGUGCUUAUGUGGCCUUAUUUCUUUUGUGUGCUUAUGUGGCCUUAUUCCUAACUCUCUUUUAAAAAGAUUAGCAUGCACUGAGAAAUAUCAUGAAAUAUAAAUUGUUAUUCUUGUCAUAUUAUAGUUUUCUUCUUUCAAAUGUUGUUUAAGAGGGACUUGUAUUGGUCUUGUUGUCAUGCGAUAUAAAUACUAGUGUUACGGAACCACUUAUCUAGUCCAACCCAUUUUGACAGUUGAAUCAUUGGUUCAUAGUUUGAUUGCAUGCAGGUCAAUGAUUGGAGAAGGAGACAAUCUGAGAGAUUUUCUUUUCUAUCUCAACCUGCCCAUUCCUCUUCUCAAAUCCUAGGUCUCUUUCUUCCAUCACUUCAGCAAGGUGGCUUUUCCAUUGUCAGCAUAGCGACUCAAUUUGAGCUUCGACAACAAAUUAAGCUUUACUGUUGGAAAAUUGCUGUUAAGAUAAAGCUACUAUAGUUUGAAGGUUCAAGGUUCCAUAUUUUAGGGUUUCCCCCAUCUCCAACCUCUACAGCUUCAACAGAGUGAGAAAGUAGCCUCUACAGCUUCAACAGAGUGAGAAAGUAGGCGAGGAAGAGGAGGAAAUGGUCGAUUGCUGAUAGUGUUACUCCCCUACCCUCGAUUUGGUUCUUUAUAACAAUGUUGGUGGAGAACAAGAAGAGAAAAAGGCAAAGGCUUGGGAUGGUAUUGGUGACCAAAAGCAUUAAGGUGGAGGCUUCUUGCUGGAUGGCAUCAUUGAUGACCGAGAUAAGAGGAAAAGAAGAGAGCAGGGGAGGGAUUGAUUAAGAAAGAUUGGAAGUCAAGACUCAUUGAUUUGAGAUAUCUUUUCCUUUAAUUUAAUUUAAUUUAAUUGUUCCGUGCAAGUCAUGAAUAGUGUGAUCAAGUGGUUUAAAUAGUUGAAUCGCUUGAUUGCAUGGGUUGAGUAGGUUUUGAAAAAUUUUGGGUUUAACAAUGAACCGAUCGGGUAUUAGGUGUCAAUGAUUGAUCAAACUAGUUUCAAGAUAACUUUCUUUCAUAUUCUUACUCAAGAAAAGAGGCUUCUUUCCAUGUUUUUCACAUUCAAGUAAAUACUUAAGUUUAUAUUUUGAUUGUAAAUGAGUCUUGGCCUCUUUUAAGAUUUUUUACUUCCUACCAAACAUUCCAUUUCCACCAAUCCCCCCCCCCCUCCUCAAGCUUUCAAUAACAUUUUCUAUCAUUUAAAAAAUUGCAUUUUGACCCAGCACCAAAAAUCUAUAAUUUGGUCUUUAAUUGAAACAUUGCACCUUUAUUUUGAUGAAAGUUGAAUUUUUAACUAUUUUUAUUGAACUGAAUAGUCAUAGUUACUUAUUUACAUGUAAUGUCUGAACUAAAUAGACAUUUACUUAAAUGUUAUUCAUUAUAUCAGAUUUGUCUUCAUCUACCUACUGAGUCAUAAGGAACUAAAAACAAACUUUAUUUACAUAGAGAUAAGUGGGAAAAAAGACAAGAUAGGAAGCUAUAUAUACAUAUAUACAUAUGCUUAUACACACACGUAUAUAUACAUACAUUCAUGUACAUCGAUGCAUAAUGUAUGUAUUUAAAGACACACAUAGACAUAGAUACAUACAUAUAUACAUCUAAAGAGUCAUUGAUUGAAUGAACAACAUAAAGAGAAGAUGGAAAAAGAUAUGAUAAAAGGAAAUUAAUGAGUAAGAGGGAGUUAAUGGUUUGGAAUACAUGCCUAUGUAUCCUUUAUUUCUUUAAUAACGAGGAUUAUAGUGCAGAUUUGCUGAUUUGCACAGAUUAGCACAUAUCAUGUUAAUGCCUCAUUGGCCUGUGCCAUUGGUUGUGUGCCAGUGUAUGGCAAGCACUAGCACCACUUGUGGCGCUCAGAGCCUUGUUAAGGGUUAGGCUUUCAACCAUAGAAAAAAGACUAUUUCCCCUACAAAGCAAUGCAACAAUGUUUAUUAAAUGUAAAUUUUAUGUGCAAUAUUUACAUGACCUCGCAUAAUUUUAUAAAUAGCUGCAUGUAAAUUACAGUGUUCAUUUGCUUUGGGUUUAAUGUUGUUUUGUUCAACUCAAUGCACAACCUAAAAUAUACUGCAUGUAAGUACACUAGUUUUGAAAGAAGAAAGAAAGACCUUUAACCUUUGGUGCAAUUAUUGUCUUUGUUUUUAUUAUCAGUUAAAGAAGGCUUCCUUCCUCUUUCCAACUGCUCAAAUCGGUUUCUUCAUCUUUUUCUCUCUAAUUCUUGAAUGUUAGUUGAACUUACAUUCUGUUCUAUACUUUUCCUGUAUUCUUUUAUUCUAAAUCAUCUUUUCCUGCUGCUUACUCUUCAUCUUGUUCUCUUCCUACUUAUGAUGGUUUUCACAGUAAAAAACACACACAAUCCAACUUAGUCAAUUAAUUGGGUUCUAGAGAUUUUUUUUUAUUUGUAACCAUUAGUCAAUGCAAAGCAUCUUACUUUUAAAAUUUUGUAUACUUAUUUUUUUCAGUUAACCAUUUAAUGGUUCAUUUGAAUGAAUAAAUUGGUCGAGUGCUCCACAGUUGAGAGUGUUUAAUAAAUUGUUUAAACUUUUGAAACCAUGAUCUUUGGAACAAAGCACAGCAUUCAUUUUAUUGAUAUAUUGGUGUCUCUUCCUUAUGGAUACGAUAUCAGGAAAGACCAUAAGGAUAAAGCAGCUACCUAUGGACUGCUGCGCAUUAUUCAUGAUUGCUUUUUAACAGUGCCACUUUUUGAUGUCAAACCAAAUAUUAUUACUACAACAGUUUUGCAAAUGAUUUUGUUGUUUAGAGUUGAGAUGUACAAGGGUUCUUGUAACACAUGAUGCAUGAUGAACAUUUUUUACAUUUCUAGUUUGUAGAAGCCAAGUUACUACAACUCAAGGAACUAGGAUGCUGCAUGUUAUGGAAGCACCAAGUACAUCGGGUACUUUUUUUCUUCUUUUAGUCUGUCUGAGCGUGCGUGUGCAAUCUUAUGCUAGCAUGCUUCUGCAACCUUCCUGUUUUUCCCUCUGUGAAUAGGUUCAUGAGAAACUUCGGCACAAGGUUGGUGAAGCUGUUGAUAUAUUACACUGAAUGUUAAGCAAGGCAAAUGAAGCUCAACUGAUGCCGGGGGGAGAAGCUCAUCGCCGGUGGUGUUACCAAUCUGAUUGGAACUGUCCUUUGGCUUCCCCUUUGAUGAAGUACAACUUGGGGUUUCCAUUUCAUGGUUGGCAGUUGGGGCGCUCUGAUUGGAAGCCGUUGAUUAAAUGAGACAGCUUAUUAGCAAGUUAAAACAUCAGUUUGUAUCCUCAGGUGGGCUCUUUGUUCUGCUAAAACCAGUGCUGUCUACCACCUCCACAUUAUUGUUGUCCUCCUUACUCCUUGAGUGGGUAAUCAGACAUACUGAUGCUAUUAUAUCAGACUUUUUUUGGGAGAGAUAUGGAGACUGGUAGAAGACCACUUAAGCUGGUAGCUUGGGAUCAGAAUUGCAAAUCUUAGGCUCAGGAUGGCUUGGAUGUCGUUAAUAUACGAGGGUUGAGCUCUUCUUGGAAAGUGACUGUGGCAUGUAAUGGCGCCCACAGGAGCUCCUCGGUGUUGGUUGGUCAUGGGAGCUCAGUCUAUUAUAAGAAGUCUGCCUUUGACACUGAAGAGUCUUGAGGUAUUUGUCUGUUCUUCACUCUUUAUGAGAUAAAUGAGUGAUGUGAUGAUGUCUAAUUGAUAACAUUAUUCAUUAUUUUUUUAAAAUCAAACAUUACUGUUGCAUGAAGUAAUUAUUUUAGGGGUGUGUUGAACCUUGAAAUAGCUCUCAGGUUUAGUUUAGUUUCAAACAAUGUAGAAGGGGAAGGCAAUAAAGAAGAGGCAGCGCAUGUGCCAGACAUUUUGCUGCAGUUUUAUGCCCUCAACCUCCUGAUGUGUGCCUUUUCCUUUAUUUUCUUUCUUGUCAAUAUUUAUAAGUGUUUUUUUUUUUAAGUUUCGAGCAAAUCGGUUGGGUAAGUAUUUUAAGUUUUGCCAAGUCUUACAGCACUGCAAUUAAUUACAGCUUGAGAUUUUGGCUAAGAUCAAAGUGAUUGAAUUCAUGUUAAAGAUAUGACGUAAAGAGCUUAGCAAAAAAGAAAAAUGACAUAAAGAGGUGUGGAUCUUACACCUUUUACAUGUAAAUGAGGAAAAAGAAACAAUGCUUUUUCUUAAAAAAAAGUUAAUGACAUGAUAUUUAGCAUCGUCGACGAUUUAACCAUAUUAAGCUCGUUGUUUAGAUAUGAUAAAGAUGAGAUGCCUCUUGUAUAUACAAGAGGCAUGAUUGACUAGUUCUUUACAUUUUUAAUCAGUUUUGAUCAAUUAAGGUUCAAUUGGUUGCUCUAAUAAAUUAUCCUUUGGAUAAAUACCGCAAAGGAUCAUAGAUGCUGAGAAUGGUCUAGAAAUUAGAGAUUAUUGCAAUAGAGGAAGUUCUAGAAUAUCAAUCUUGAAAACAUAGGAUAACCAACUCCCUGUGGAAUGUGAUUUUCUUUAUUCUGUUUUUUUUUGAGUUUUUAUAGUUCAUAGUUUUCUCAUUUAGCAUAAUUCUUCUCACCAUGUUGUUGACAUCUUUCCACUGUCAACCACGCAAGGAAUAUACGAGAGAGAACAUUUGAGCAGGUCUUAAAUAUAAAUCUAACUUUUUUUUGUAUUAAGCCCUCUAUGGUUGCUGUGAAAUUGAAAGAAAUAUAAAAUAGAAAAAUUAAGGAGAAAAUUUCAAUAGAAAGUUACUCAAAAAGUCUUUUUUUUUUUUUAAUGUUUGUCAUAUCUCUUAAAUAUAGUUUUUCUAUGAGAGAUUUUUCUUUUUCACUUUUCAAAAUUGCUCUUUGUUGGAGAAUCAAAAUUUUAGGAUGCUUAGAGAAUAUUUUGAUCCUAGAUUUUCUUUCAAAAGUUUUGGGGUAAUUACCCUUGACUCACCUAUUGUAAGAUCUGAUUUAACUUAGCUCAUUAUAGUUUACAAAGUAACACUUAAUCUACCUAAACUCAGCUCCGUUCUGACACCAUGCUGCACCGUUACCGACCUGUGCAAUGACAGAGCAUAAAUUCGUCUUAAAAUAAAGGUCCAGGACUCAUUUGCACUUAAUUUUGAAUCUUUUUCCUCCUUAAAUCUCCAAACCGGAAUUUCUUCCACUAAAUCCAAAUCUUUUUCUACAAAUUAAAUUAAAAAAAUUAAAUGUAACUGAUCUCCUUUUUCAAUUUUCUUAGCAAUCAAGCAGAAUUCGAAGAUAGCUCAUCGAACUAUAUGCCUCAUCUCCUCAAAUCCAUUGUGGAGCUCAAGCUCUGUCUAGCUCAAGGUUUAGCUUAUUGUCGAAGUCUGAUUCAGCUGAGCUUGAGCUAGUUUGAUGUCAUAUAAGCAGCCAAAGGCUGCAUGUCCUUGGCUUGACAAGCUUGCAUGAAGGCUACGUUGGACGUGAAUCAUUAUCUUCUUCAUGUUUGGUUCUCUGUACAUUUAUUGCUGCGUGAUAAAUAACUGAUAAACUCAUUCCGCGCCCCUUCAUCUUAUUCUGGUUCCCAGUCUUUUCGAGCCAUCAACCAUGCUUUCUUUAGCCUCUUCCCACCUCCUCCAAGACAUUUCCUGGGUACGCUCUCUCUCUCUCUCUCNNNNNNNNNNNNNNNNNNNNUCUCUCUCUCUCUCUCUCUCUCUCUCUCUCUCUCUCUCUCUCUCUGCUCUUAUGAUCGGAAAGUAAUAUUCUUGUAUUUCCUUAGUCUAAGCGAAAGCCUUGUCCCCUUUACACAGCUGCAGAGCCCUCCCUUCGGCAAUCCUGGUCGCGAACAGCGUUUGGUGCCGCGUAGGAGGAAGCCCCAUAUCUCCCUCGUCAGUCCCCUCCUCCUCAUCUCUUCGUUCCUUUGUAUUCUCUCAUUUUCGCUCUUUUUAUCGUUGGAAGUUAUGGUUUCCCGCUGUUGGGGUGUUUUGGUGCCUGUUGCGGUGAAAUGUCUCGAGCCCCCUCGAAUCAGUAUCAAGUGUUUGUGGAAAUGCCUGCACACACAUAUAAUUAAGUUUGAUCGGAGGAGUUUCUUAUAGCACGUGGGUCGAGAAAGAGCAUAAUGGAAGUAAGCUAAUUGUCCUUGUUCUCGAAUCAAUCAUGUCCAGAUUUCACAACUUUCAUUCUUUCAGGACUUUUCCCCCACUCUUCCUAAGCUUUGGACAUGGUUUUGGGCAUCUCUCUGUACUUCAUUACAUGUCCAUUCCAUUUCAGUUGGUCCUUGAUGCUCUGCUCUUAAUUAGUAUUUUUGAUCGGUGCGCAUGGAGAGUGAAAGUGGUGGCGGCUUGAACAAGGAGAGUAGAAGACUGCAGCAUGUGAGAUAUCGCCCCAAUGAAAGAAAUUGUUUAACAUCUGCACAUGAUAGGCAAUAUGUUCAGGAUAUGGUAAGAGACAAAUGUGAUGACAUAGGGUCAACUAGUCACAGGUUCUUAGAAGAAGUUCAACAAGAAUAGAAGCAGUUAAGAUGUCCAUGGAGCAAGUGGAACAUAUCAACAUAGUUAUGUACUUCCACCAACAAACUAGGCCCUAUUUGGGGGAGCUUUUGGAGUACCAAAAAUCACUUUUUGGCCCUCCAAAAGUACUUUCAGAUAAAAAAUGGUGUUUGAUAAAAUUUUCGGAAAGCUGUUUCAGCUUUUGCGGAAAGCUGAAAACAGCUUUUGGGGAGAAGCUCCAAUUUGGAGCUUUCCGAAAACGCUGUUUUCAGCUUUGUCGGAAAGCUGUUUUUUAGACCAAAAUACCUCAUUUAAAUCUCACUUUUUCUCCCCAAAACCCUCAUCCCACCUCUUCCUCUCUCACCCAUCCCCUUACUCUCCCUCUCUAUCUUCUUCUUCCUCUUAACGCCGCCGUCACUGUUCCUUCUUCCUCUUCUUUUUUUUUCUUUUUUUUUUGUUUUGGGAGCUCGUGGUUGCCCAUGGCGGCAGCCACCAUGCCGGCCACCACCCAUGGCCGGCGACCCCUCUAUAUUUCAAUGAAAUAAAAUAAUAAAUAAAUAAAUAACUAAAUAAAAUAAAUAAAAAAAUAAUGAGUGAGUGGCAAAUAAUCUGAUCUAAAUAAAUAAAUAAAUAAAUAAAUAAUAUUAGUAAUUAUUUAACCAAUUUUAUCACCUAGCUAGAAAAUUUAUUAGAGAGAUAAAUGGUUAUUAGAAGGAUAAUAAAUUAAUUUACACUAAUAAUUAUAAUAUUUUAUAUAUUUAUUAUUGUAUUAUACUAUAAAUAUAAUAUUAUAUUAUAUUAUAUCAUAAUAUAUUGAUAUGUUAUGUUAAAUAAUAUAAUAUUAUAUUAAAUUAUUAUUCUAUAAUACAUAAUGUAUAGUACUAUAUUAUAAUAAUAUUAUAUUACAUUACAUUAAUAUUAUACUAUAUCAUAUAUUUAUGUAUUAAUACAUAUUAUAUUUUAUUAUGCUCUGUUGUAUAAUACUGGUAAUUUUUUUUAGGGUCAUUUUGUCACACAAAAGUACUUUCUCAGUUUGUUUACCAAACACAUGUUAAAGUGCCACAACAUUUUAGAAAUGUAGUUACCAAACAGCAAACAGCUUUUUAUAAACGCUCUGCUUCAGACAGCUCUACUUCCAAAAGCUCUACUACUAACAGCUCCCCUAAACAGGGCCGUAGAUAACCACCAGGCCUGUAAGCCAUCUCAAUGCCUAGAGUGUCAAAGAGCUACAUCAUCUUGCUAGAGUGAAUAGGGUCAGUAUGUCUCCAGCGUAAAUCAUGUUCUUAGGAUAGUGUUGAAGAAGGUGUGAGGUCACGAGUUAAAAUGUGAAUAAACAUGGUGUUGUGGUUGUUCUAGGAAUUGCAGUUCAGUUGGAAUGGCUUCUAUCUUUGUACAUCUACAUUGUGUCUUUAAACUUAGUAGCCUAUUAUUUAAUGAGAAACUAUUUUGGAAGCAGCAAGUGUACGUUAACGUUGUAAAAUUGGUGGUACACAUGAAGUGCCUAGAAGCUUUUAUUAACUGCCAAGGCAUCGCAGAGACGGGUGUCCUAUUUUAUCACUAAUAUUACAAUGAAGGCAAAUCUAUCUUCUGGGUCUUAAUGAAGGCAGUUUUAUGAUUCUUAAUGAUCACACAACUUACAGUGCCUUUUCUUCUUUCUUCUUCCUUUUUUUUUGUUGGGGGGGAGGGGUGCCAAAAUCAACAUCUCAGAUUUCAAUUUUCAGCACAAUUUAUUCAUGCAGCAUGCAUAUAUUUGCUUUCUCAGUGAAAGCAUGUCACUAUAUUUCAGACGUUCACCUAAAACUUCAGAUAAAGAGGGGAAAAAACUGUAAUGCUGUGCAUGCUCCAAAACUUCUCACAGGAAAACAUCACAAGGCCUUCAACAAGCAAGCUAUGUGCAACCUCAUUGGGCGCCCAAAGAACAUCGAAUGCUGGUAAUCUCCUUGUCGAUGCUCCAACAGCGACCCCAGGGAGUACUGCUCCUCUAGUUCUAGCACUACAAUCUACUGCAAAACAAGAUGUUGCAUGUUUUCACUUCCCUGGACAUAACAGAGGGAAAGCAGCCCCAUCCUUGAUGUCGGAAGUUACUGGGCUGGAAACUUUUUUACAUGACCUACCCGAGCUUCCUGAGCUUGAUGAUCUGUUCUCUCCAAAGGGUGUAAUUCUAGAUGCCCAGAUGCAAGCUGCAAAACUUUUUGGGGCAUCUGAGACGUGGUUUCUUGUUGGAGGCACCACCUGUGGCAUCCAAGCAUCAAUAAUGGCUACUUGUUCCCCUGGAGAAAUACUUAUUCUUCCUCGGAAUUCUCAUAUUUCUGCAACAUCUGGUUUGAUUUUGUCCGGUGCGAUACCAAAGUAUAUCAUGCCAAGGUAUAAUUCUCAUUGGGACAUUGCUGGUGGAAUAACACUAUCACAGGUCGAUAGAGCGGUGAAAGAGUUGGAGGAAGAUGGAAAAACAGCAGCUGCAGUUCUGCUCACGUCUCCAACUUACCAUGGCAUAUGCAGCAAUGUGAGUGAAAUAACAAAACUCUGUCACGCUCGCAAUAUUCCUGUUAUAGUUGACGAAGCACAUGGUGCUCAUUUCGGCUUUCAUGCCGAGUUUCCAAGCACUGCACUUGAACAAGGCGUUGACCUAGCUGUGCAAUCUACCCACAAGGUUCUGUGUUCUCUGACCCAGUCAUCUAUGUUGCACAUGUCAGGGAAUCUUAUAGACAGGGAAAGGAUAAGUAGAUGUCUUCAAACACUACAGAGCUCCAGCCCAAGCUAUCUUCUUCUUGCAUCAUUGGAUGCUGCAAGAGCUCAGCUAAGUGAAAAUUCAGAGACUAUUUUUAACAAAGCCAUGGACUUGUCCGUGGAAACUCGCCACCAGAUCAGGGCAAUUCCAGGUGUCUCGGUGUUGGAUUUAACAAACUUUAUUUCUGGUUUUCCUUCUAUCGACCCUUUGCGCAUCACUCUUGGUGUUUCACAGCUUGGUAUAUCAGGCUAUAUGGCAGAUGAGAUAUUAUAUGAAGGACAUCAUGUAAUACCUGAGCUGGUAGGGAGUCGGUCAUUAACAUUUGCCAUCAACUUGGGGACUCGCAGGGAGGAUGUUCAAAGGCUUGUAUCGGGAAUAAACUUUUUAUCAGCAAAUUACUCCAAGGAAAAUGAGUUAGAAUUUAAUAAGGAGGAUGAUGGCUGUGAACCUUUUUCUAGUAUAACUAUGAGAAUGAGUCCUCGGGAGGCAUUUUUUGCGAAGAAGAGGAAGGUCGAUAUUGGAGAAAGCCUUGGGCAGAUAUGUGGAGAAUUAGUCUGUCCAUACCCACCUGGUAUUCCACUACUAGUUCCUGGCGAAGUUAUAACUGAGGAAGCUAUACAGUAUCUGUUGGAUAUAAGAAGGAUGGGUGCUGCAAUCAGUGGAGCAUCCGAUCAUCAACUAUCUUCCAUGCUUGUGUGCAAUGUAUAACCGAACAGGUAAUUUUUUGUUAAGAUUCUCUCUUUGGGGAUUGACCCUCUCAUUUAAGCUUGAAGAGGGAUCAGGAUAAGGUUCAGAAUGGAGGAGAGCUAUCUAGGACAAAGCUAAAAAAUGAAGAGAAUGGACUGAGAUGAGUUAAAAGAUUAUAUAGUGGUGGAAAGAAAUCCAGUUAGCUUGCUAUGGAUGGUCAAGACAUUCGAUGCCAAAAAAAUGACAAUAAUGGAGUUGUAGAGCUCAAUUCACAAAACAAAGUUCAAAUCAGUAAAACUCCUAAUUUGUCUCUUAAUUUCUUCUGAUGGUUUUUUUUUGUGGGGAGUGGGGGGUGGUUAUGACUUUGCUUUUAUAUGGUUCAAUAUUGAAAUACGAUUGUGGAUUUGUAUUUCUCUCUGACAUGACAAAUGGUGCUCUCCAUUGUUUUUUUACCUUUUUUUGACAGAAAAGGAGGAUUGGGACGCCCCCCUUAAGUUGUUAUUUAUUAGAAAGAGUUACAAAGGUUUUACUGAAGUUUUAUGUGAGAGCCUUUAAGUGGUGCUCUCCAUUGUUUUUUGUUGUCUCACUUCCGAACUUAUAUUUCAUUGCAGUGGAUGAUGAUGCAUAUCCUGAAAUCUAAGUGGUCUAAUGAAUCCUUUCAAUGAAAUCUUGUCUUAUAAGAUCUAUUAGGGAUGAUCUACAGCUUGAAUUCUCAUAGCUAUUGUGAACUAUCUCUGAAUUUAAGCCCUCCCAGCAGCAGGCUUUUAAGAUUGUCUUGUAAUUCAGUUUUUUUCAGCCAUGUCCUUCUAUUGGUUAGCUUCUAUAAAAGGAUUAUCUUUUGUGGAUUUUAUGUAAUUUUUCUAUGAGAAAUAUUAGCGAAGAAAUAUUUCAUUUCAGCCUGCUUCUAACUUUUUUGCAUUAUUUUUACAUUAUAUCUUUUCUUGCGAGCAAGUAUAUAUUUUAUACAAGGACUGUAAUACUUCGGAUAUUUUUUCCUUAAAUGCUAUUAAUUGUUUUGGAGAUCUCAGGAGAUGGUUGACAUGUACAUAAGAUUCAAACUUCGAGAUUGGACUAUAAUUAAAUAUAUAAAUAUAUGGUCGGAGUUUAAGUUCAUAUUUUAUUUUUUCUUUCUAUUUGUCAACAUUUUAAUCUCUUAUUGUGCCUUAGAUUUUUCAUUUUCCAAAACAUUGGUAGGAGUGAUACUAGCAAGCUAGGCACUCAACAGACAAAAUGUCUAAUAUUGCACAGAGAAAGAAAUUAGACAUUGAUGCGUCAUAAUUGUAAAAAAAAUAUUUUGGCUGAUAUAUACCGACAUUUUUCAAAAUAGUGGGGUUGAUAUAAUUGGUCCUGAUCUAUUUCGUAUUUGAAGACAAGUGGAUCGAGUCGGGUCUAAAAAUUGGACAUGAUCUAAAUUCUAAGUUUGGUCUGACUCUUGCAUUUUCAACACAACUCGAAUGUUCAUAUAUUAUCUAAAUCUGCUCUGAAAGUAGAAAUAAUUAUUAUUUGCAAAAUAGGUGUUUAGAAGUUCAAAAUAUAUUAUUAUAUACGAAAGUAUCAAGAAGAGAAAGGAUCUAAGAGAAAGAGGACUUCUUCAGAAGGCUAGGCUUGUUAAAGAGGUUUCUUUUAUAGAUAAAAGAUAAUUAUUUGAGAAGUGGAAGAUCUUUUUGUGACUUGCUACAGGCUACUUGGUAUGCUCAAAACCUAGAAUUUUGAACACAUUCAUCAAGUUUUACCUCAACAAGUUUAGAUUUAAUUUGAAUAUGGAGUUUUCAGGAGGAGUUGAACUUCAACAAGUUUGAAAUUUAGAAACUUCAAAAAGUCUUUUAUUCCUUCAAGGACUAGAGAGUAGGGGUUUGUUAAUUAUGUGGAGAUUGAUUAAGCUUGGGCCUUAUCGAGCUUGGCAUGAAGUCAAUUUCGAGCUUGAAUUUAUUUAUCACUAUUUAAAGCUCAAUUCGAGCUUAAUUUCGAUUCUAGCCAAACAGAUCGGCUUAAUAAUCUUAAAUCAAGUUGAAAUUAAUUAGAUCUUGGAUCAAGCUCGAUUCAAACUUGAAUGGAAGCUUGACAAAAUGACUGACGCAUGGUUCAAAACUUGGGUCCACAUUUGAAUUCACAUUUAAUUGAUUCAAAAAAUAGAAAGCUACCAAUUAAACCUUUAAUCCAAUAAUCAAUAUAUAUAAUAUACUCUAAAUAAUAAAUUGUAUAUAUUAUAUGAUAUAUAAUAUAAACAUAUUCAAGUUUUUUGGGGCUAAGCUUGAUUGAGCCAGGUCAUUUUUUUUGGCCCGGCUCGAAAAAUUUAAAGUAUAUUUUGCUUGUUCAACCUUGAUCCAAACUUCGAAAAAGUAUUAAUAUUAAAAAAAAUAAAGUUGAAGCUAAUUUAUAUCAGUAAAAAUUAGUUGUUGUAAAAAAACUUCCAUUGCUCACUCUCUUUAAAACCAACAAAAUGUUUCCACAUCAUCUAAUACAACGAGGGCGGGCACCCUUAUUCUAUUUAAUAUUAAAAAACUUCCAUUUAAUACAUCAUUUGUUAACGAAACCCUGUAUUCUAUUCUUAUUCUACUUCUUGUCCUUGAGUUAUAUAGUCCAUAUUGACGCUUAGCCCCCUCUAUGGACCGGACGGGCUGAUUUAGCCCGGGAAACCCCGUAUGCCGCCGUUGAAGCGAGCGGUCACCGACAUUUUGAAUUUCCCGCGCUCCCCCUUAAUCGCUGCCCUCUCUUCAACGCCAAUUUCUCGCUCUCCAACCGAAAGCCUCACCUCACUCCACCAAGAUGCGCCUCCCCUUGUCGACCCCAUCCAUUCUCCUCUACCCUCUCUUCCAUCUCCCAUGGAGAACCCUCAGAGAGCUUUUCUCGGUCUGCUAAAAGAUUCCUCGGGAACCACAACAACCCUUUCCGACGUCGAACUUCUCCAUUCCAGAGCAAUCAAGGUAGGCUUAGCUCGAGAUGGGCAGGUGGGCCCCGGUCUUCUCAAUCUCUAUGCCAAGUGCAGCUGUUUAGAUCUUGCACACAAGUUGUUCGCGGAAAUCCGUGAAAGAGAUGUGUUUGCAUGGACUAUUCUGAUCUCGGGAUUCUCUAGGAAUGAAGAGUAUGAAACGGGGUUGAGACUUUUUAUCCGCAUGCUAACUGAGGGGAUUUUGCCUAACCGCUUUACUCUCGCUAGUGUUUUGAAGUGUUGCAGGGGCUCCAAUAAUCUUAAAAUGGGUAAGGCGAUCCAUGGAUGGAUUAUAAGGAAUGGGGUUCGACUGGAUGUCGUGCUGCAGAAUUCGAUUCUUGACUUCUAUGCCAAAAGUAGUACCUUUGAAUAUGCGGAGAGAGUUUUUGAAAUGAUGAAUGAGAGGGACGCUAUUUCAUGGAAUAUUAUGAUUGGUGCUCAUUUACAGAAUGGAGAUAUUGAUGGAUCGAUGAAAAUCUUUAAGAUGUCGCCCCUUUGUGAUGUCUCGAGUUGGAACACCAUUAUUAACGGGCAAAUGCAGAACAGGUUGGAUAUGAAUGCCCUGCAAAUUCUCUACCACAUGGUGGAGAUUGGGCCUAAGUUUAAUCAGUUCACUGUCUCUAUGGCAUUGGUAUUAGCUGGUAAAUUAGCUCUGCUGGAAUUGGGAAGGCAGCUUCAUGGCCAAAUACUAAGAUUUGGGUAUGAGCAUGAUGCAUUUGUUAGGAAUUCACUCAUAGAUAUGUACUGCAAGUGUGGCAAAAUUGAAUUUUCGUCAAUCAUUUUCGAUAGUUCAUCCCAGUGUAUUGAUGGUCUAAUGCCAAAAACAAUUGCAUGGAGCUCUAUGGUUUCUGGGUAUGUGCAAAAUGGUAGGGGUGAAGAAGCACUGGAGCUCUUCCGUAGGAUGUUUCAUGAAGGAGUCAAGGUGGACCAAUUCACUCUCACAAGCAUCGCUGCAGCUUGUUCUGAUGCUGGAAUCUUAGAGCAAGGCAGGCAGGUGCAUGCCUGUGUUGAAAAACUAGGCCAUGGAUUUGACACCUUUCUGGCAUCGGCUAUCACUGACAUGUAUGCUAAAUGUGGUAGCUUGGAAGAUGCCUGUAAAACUUUUAACAGCUUUCAUAGUCAAAAUGUUGUGCUGUGGACUUCUAUAAUAGGCUCUUAUGCUUUGCAUGGGCAGGGGAAGAAGGCCAUUCAGCUUUUUGAAAGCAUGCUGCAGGAUAAGAUAAUGCCAAAUGAGAUAACCUUUGUGGGUGUUUUGUCAGCAUGUAGCCAUGCUGGUUUGGUUGAAGAAGGCUAUAAGUAUUUCAGAUCGAUGCAGGAAGAUCAUGGCAUAGUUCCAGAUAUCGAACACUACACUUGUAUGGUUGAUCUCCUUGGUCGAGCUGGUUUGCUUGAGAAGGCAAAAGACUUCAUUCAUGAAAACAACAUCAGCCAUCACACUGUUGUCUGGAGGACAUUAUUAUCAGCUUGUCGAGUGCACAACAAUAUAGAAAUGGCAAUACAGGCUUCUGAACAACUGGUUCGAUUUGAACCAUGUGAUCCUGGAUCUUAUAUAUUGCUAUCACAUAUACAUGCCACGAAGAGGAAAUGGGGACAGGCUUUCAAACUGAGGAACUUGAUGCAGGAGAGAGGGAUCAGAAAACAACCAGGUCAAUCUUGGAUUCAGUUGAAGAACGAGAUUCACACAUUUGUUGUGGGGGAUAGGUCACACCCCCAGACAGAUGAGAUAUAUUCUUACUUGGAGUACUUAAUUGGGAGAUUGAAGGAAUUAGGGUAUUCAAGUAGAACAGACUUGGUUCUCCAUGAUGUGGAAGAAGAACAAAAAGAAUCAGCUCUAAAUUACCAUAGUGAGAAGCUUGCUAUUGCUUAUGGGAUCAUUAGCACUCCUGGUGGAUCGCCUUUAAGGGUCAUGAAGAAUCUGCGUAUCUGUGUAGACUGUCAUGAGGCUAUCAAAUAUGUUAGUCAAGCCACAGGCAGGGAGAUCAUUGUUCGAGAUACUUACCGAUUUCAUCAUUUUAAGGAUGGCAAAUGCUCGUGUGGGGAUUACUGGUGAAUGGAGCUCGAUUAUGUUAUACCUGGCAAAGCUUGCCAUCAAGAUACUAGAAGUUUUGAUCUUGUAGUGGACUGACCUCUUUAGACCAAAAGAAAGGUAUGUGCUCUUAAAACCACCAUAGUUUCAUGCAAUACCCAAUGCAAAUACUAAAUUAUUUGUGUGGUGCAAUUCAACUUUUCAUUGUAUAAGUUUCUGGGGAAUGCAGUUUUUGCACCUUGAGUCACUGUCUAUAAUGCUGCGAAUUUAUUGCUGGUAUUAUCUUUAAUAAUUAUGAUUAUAUUUUGGCAGUGCAAAUAUUUUCAGUAACUUUUUCAGGAUUGCUCUUGACAUCUGUCUCUCUUUGUUCUGUCUAGUUGCUGAGGAAUUUAUUUUUUAUUUUUUCCACAAAAUCUUUUUCUGGAUUUCAAGUAAUCUUUCACCAUCAAAGUUUGCUUAAUAACUAAGUCACAGUGAAGCCCAUUUUACCCACUUUGAAGAAAAGGAAAUCUCACCUAGUGUGUGUAUGUCUGAAACAGUGUCAUACUAAUUCGAUGCACUACCCAUUCCAAUGUUCUGCUUGACUCUUCUACAUUGUUAUUAUAGUUACCUUUUAUAUAGUACUGUAAGACAUAUUUUUUGUACAAACUAUAUCCUCAGGGCAAAUGUCAUAAAAGAGUAGUUGGACCUAGGAGGAAUUCAGAAGCAUAGCAGAGACAAAUACCCCACUCUAUUUAGAGACAUAUUAUCAGAUACAGUUUAUGGCUAUGGCCCAAGUAAGUGGGAAGCAGUGAUGAUUUGAAGUCUUUAUACAACCUCCACUUCUACUUAUUCCUGUCUCAAUCAAAGCCCAUUCAGGCACCCAUUCUCCUUCAAGUUUAAGAUUCCUAUAAGGCUUGAGUAGUGGCUUUAACUUAGUGCUUCAGAGUCGUAUUUUAAAAGCUUCACUUGCCGUCAACCAUGGGAGUAAUUUGUCAAACGUAGUGAGGUGGUGGUAAAGGUGAAUUGCAGUCCAUGGAAGCAAGCUAAGAUCUUGGGAGCAGUUCUGUACUUUAAAGGACCGCAACAGGAAUCGUAGAUGCCUUCACUAGACUUGUGAGGAAGAAUUCUUCAUGAUGCCAAUAUGUUUUUCUAGUGAGAUAGCUAUCAUCAGUAUAAGUGUUAUUACUCAUCCAUCAUUUCGUCAUGUAACCAACCAUUCUUGUUCUGGAAGCUUUUUGACUGCAUGGUUUUAUCUUAAGCCAAUAAAACUGUAAGAGCAAAAUAUAUUUGAUUUUAUUCAAAGUAGCACCAUCUAGUCUAUCAAGAAAGCACUAUUUGUCCCAGUAUGAAAUUGACAAAUCUUUAGGUUCCUGCUCUAUAGCUCUCUGCAAUCCUGCUGUGCUUGUUAAUUGAGAUCUGUCUAGUGUUAAUAUCUUAAAUUUCUUACACUUUACUCUUAGACCAAUCUUAAGUUCCUAAUUUAGUAGUUGUAAGCUGGGAAAAGUAAAGUACAAAUGGGUCUCAACACGAUGCCUUUGUGUUCAAGGGAGGGAUGAAAUAGAAGAUCCCAGAUGAUAAGAGGGAGUAAUAGGAGAAGGUUCUCAGAACACACAAAAAGUAGUUGGUGGCCUCAAAGUGCCCUACAAAUUGGACUUGCAAUCAGCAAAAAGUGGGUAGCAAAACCAACUAACCCCACCCACUCCAUAAUAUCUCCUCCCCCUCUGCCUUCUCUCACCAAACUCGAGUUACUCCUGUCCCUGAAAUCAUUCAGACUUGCUAACAAAGUCAACACCACCCAAUAUAACAAAUUUGCUUGCACUUCAUUUCUUUCAUGCCAUAACCACCAUUCUCUUUCUCUUUACCUCCUACCUCCCACUUUGCCCAUCUUCUCUGUUCCAUUCAUGAGGCAAUGAGAGACCGAAGGAUGGAGAGGUUUGUCGUCCUUCCGUUCUCCAUGGGCUGCGUUUCUCAAUCGAGCAUCGCAGUUUGCAUAAGCCAACCAAAGAGAGCACAAUCAGAACCACCUCCGCCAAGACCAAGUAACAUUCUUCUUUCUUAGUUCUUAUUAAGAUAUCUAGUAGAGGUAUUUUAUCAGGUCUGCUCCCUUAUGUGUUUGUUCUUCUGGAAGGUGGAGAAGGUGAAAGCCAAUCCGAUGGGAAGAUGAAGGGCUCAUCUGUGCUUCUCCCACUUCCUCGCCCUAACGUCUCCGCGGGGUUUCAGAAGCUGAUCAAGAGCUUCAAGAGCUUGUCUCAACUGUUUGAAAUAUACAAAGAGGAUGAUGAGGAGAUGGAGAUUGGAUUCCCAACUGACGUGCAGCAUGUGUCCCAUGUAGGAUGGGAUGGUUUCAACAAUGUCAGCAGCAUGAAGAGCUGGGAUAAAGCUCCAGAAUUCCUCUCUCUGCCAUCCCUCUCAUUGAGGCAGUUUGAGCUGGCCAUGGCAGUCCAGGCUGGUGCCCCUCCACCCCAUGGUCCUCUUGGGGCUUGACCACAGUGAGGUGUAGUUGCCCUGUUCUUUUCUUUGGUUCUUGCUGUUGCUUGCUAUCCUUCGGUGAUGGUCAUGAGAGGUGCAUGUGAAUUGUAUAGAUUGUUUUAAUAUGGGGAUCUUUAGCAUAUCCUAGUCCUUUUUGUGUACAUGUGAGAGCUUGGUUUGUUCACUGAGUGCAAUAAGAAUAAUAUUAAGUCUUGCGACCACAAGUCAUAACCACUUGGACUAAUGGGGUAUAUUUCAUGCCACCUAGAAGGGGCAGCAUCUUUUUUGAAGUUCAUGUGAUUUGACAGCCCACCAAAACCUCUCCAAUUGUUAAUGAUUUUAGCCUAAAUAAGUACAAAAUAAGAGGACCCAACCUUGUUUCUAUGCACAUUUAAAAUCUCUGUCCCCUGUCCUGAGAGAAUGAAAUCCAAUAGUCUUGUUGGUGUACAUUUUUUGGCAGGCAAGCCUCGACAAACCUUGCACCAUCUUACAUCACUCUCUUGUGAUGCCAAGGGAAAUGAAGUCAUGGGACAACUCACUAGUUUAUUAGGAGAAUUGUUUCUGCUGUAGUACAGCCUAGGUGUCAAAGUUCUGUAAUGGAUGUAAACGGUUUUGUAUCUUAGCUACCAUGGUAUGUACAAAAAUUCUUAUUGCUCUCCUUAUAAGCUAGAAGUAAUACUCAAUCUCUUUGUUUAUGAUCCCAUCAAAUAGAAUUUAAGAUUUCCAUAGCUAAAAGGUAGAUUGGUUCAAGAUUUGGAUCGUAAAAUCACCAUAUUCGAGCUAAAAUAUUUUGAUUAGGUGCUUUCCAAUCUCAUUUGCAUGAUUCUUUGCUUCAUGACAGCUUAAUGUUGAUGUUCUUUUGUUGCAUGGUGUUGUCUUUGGGAAACCAUCAUUCUUUUUUAUAGCUUUCCCAAUGUCAAGACGUCUCUUCAUCCAUAUCAUGGCUGUUCCCCUUGAGUGCUUAAAAAUACAUUUGGGAAAAGAUGUCUUCUUGCUUGCAGGGCUGAUGUGGAUUCAGCUAGAUUUCUAAUGGUAAAUAAUUUUUUAGCAUGUCAAGUCUAUUUCUUGAGCUUAAGUGGCCGACAUGGUCCUGUUCUGAUGGAGAGCUAUCCACUAUUGUGCAGUUCAAGGAUCUUUUUUUUUUCUAGCACAGAUUUGGGAAAAAACAAGAUAACAAAUCCUUGCUAAAGCUAUGGAAAAUAAGCCUAGCCCAUCAUACGUUUCACUAAAAAUAAGAAAUAUACCUAACAUCUGCUAAUGCAGCAUCAGCAGAAAAUUUACAUAAAUCUUUAUGGAAAAUAAAGGAACCUUAAGUUCUUAAUUUUCGAUGAAAAUUUGCUAGGAACUGUCACACCCUGAUUCUAGAGCAUAACAAAUACCGCAUAUCUGCAAUGUGGACUAUACAAGUAUAUAAGGAUACUGAUCAAAGAGUAAUAAUAAUAAUCCUUCAAUUCUUGAAAAUCAAUUUAAUAAAGAUCCAAUCGAUUUCUUACAAGCAAAUAUUUCAAAGUAGCGAGAGUUAUAAUCUUCCAACCAAUUAUUCUCAUUUAAAUCAAAUAAAACGUCCAAAAUUAAAUUGAACUUGAACUAAGCUAAAUUAAACGAAGCUAGAAGUUUAGAUGACUCAAGUAUCUUCAAGCAAUCUAGCGCACUUCUUCAAGUUUCAGAAUUUGAAAGUAGAAGAAGAAAAAAUAAUGAGUUGCACCAGCCAAGUAAGCAACAUAAUAUAUCAAAGUGAGAUCCAAGCAUGCCAGACAAAUAAAUAAUCAAAUAGCAUUAUAUUGAUUGAAAAGAAAUUAAAUCUCAAAUAGUACAGGUAUUUUUUUCAAAAUUUAUUUUUUAUAAAUUGAUAGUAGAUCUAACACUAAACUAUGGCCGCAUAGCCAAUAGCAUUGGUCAGACAAUAGAUACAGAGUCCACAAAGUGCCACUAACAAAUACCACUAUUCUAAUCAGUAGUAGUUCAGUAUCGAAACUAGUUUCUCAUAUUAUAAGUCGACAGGACCAAUAUAUAAUCUCCAAUAGCAGGGUCAGGUCAUAGCCGUGCUGAAAUAUAUAUAUAUAUAUAUAUAUAAACAAUUUCACAAACUACUUAGUGAUCAAAUUUUCAAAAUUUAUUUACAAGAAUAUCAAAAUAUGUAACAUAUUUUAAAACAAUUAUGACCGCAAUAAUAACAUGCUUGACCUAUUUAAUCAAACAUAAAAUAGAGAUCAUAACUAAAUUUAAAAACUAAUUGUCACAAUAUGGUGUUCAUCCUGUGAAAGCUAUUGUCACAAUGAGUUCUACUAAAAGCUCGUUAGCCUCCGGCCAACAUGCAUGGCAUUGGUGUCCUUUCUCAGCUGUUUGGCCCAAUAAAGUCUCAGUUUUCAGGUGGCUAAGUGGACCAUUUCAGUUUAGCUGAAACAAAUGUAAGUUCCACAAGGACUUACAGAAAUCCGUGAACAAAUCUGGAAGUAGUUUAUUGCCUAAAUCUGUCAUGCGAAAUUAACUCUAAGAACUAAGUUGACAGAAAAUCUAGCAGAUGCUUCAUAUUGCAGAAGUAGUAGAUAGUUGUGUUGUCAUUUCAAGUUAGGUUGCAUUUUUCUUUUAUAACCCACCUUCAGCAGAUCCACUAUUGUAUACAUAGUGAUACCACCUAUUUGUUGGACAAGAAAUUCGAGUCCAAUUGGAAGGGUUAAAUUUUAUUGGUGUAAAACCUAGUACUAUAUUCUAGUUUGGUUAUCUCUUUCUAGUUAUAUACAACCCAUAAAUUUUCACUGUCAUCAUAGGAUCCUUAGUGCUCUAUUCAAUUUCCUUCAUGAUGUGCAUCUUCCCACCGAGACAACUAAAGAAUUCUGGGAUUCCCUGGAAGCUGAGUAUGGAAUGGUUGAUGUUGGUCUAGAUCGGUUUACUAUAUCCAGGUUUUACAAUUAUGCCAUGGUGGAAUCUAAACCCAUCAGUAUCUGGAUCCAUAAAUUCCAAGAUGUCCUUCGAAAAGUUGAAUUAACCAUAUGUAUUUUUUCUUAGAUUAUAAGGUUCGAGCCUUGACUGGCACUCUUUCUCCAUCUUGAUCAAACUCCUCAUGAGAGCUAAGUCAUAAGAAAAGCUACUUAACCUCAAUGGAGGUUAGUAACUCCAUUAGAAUUGAAGAAGAGAAUUGAUUUAAGCUUAAGCACGCAAUCAGACUUUGAACUCAAAAUUAACCUAAUUGAAUCUAAUCAGAACCAAAUCAAACCCCGAGGGGAAGAACUUCAAAAAGAUUGAAGAACUUCCAAAAACUUCCUCUAAAUCUCCUAAUAACUUACCAAACUUGACCGAGUCAGAAGGCAAAAAAGAAAGAGAUCUUUCUGCUUCGCAUGCACGCAAACCAACAAUGAGGUGAAGAAUUGCUACCAUAAAAAGACUAAGCUACUAAAGAAAAGUGCAACUAAACCUCAAGUCACCAUUUUCGGAGAUGGUGCUGAACUUUUUUUGGGUCGGAUGCUCCAGAUCCCUUAAUAAACCUCAUUCUUUCAUCUCAUGAUUGGUGGCUUGAUUCUAGAGCAAAUAUCCUAGCUCUCCACCUUUCAUGAAUUAUGUGGAUGAGGUGUAAUGCUCGGAAACAGUUCAGCAACAAAAGUGUUGGAAAAAGGUCUAGUGGACUUGAAGAUGACAUUUAAAAAAUUUCAAUCCUUCAUGAAGUGUCGUAUGUCCUCAAUAUUAAAAAAAACCUAAUUAGUAAAUCUCUUCUUGUACAUGAGGUUUACAAAAUUAUAGUAGAAUCCAAUAAACUUGUAAUUACUCAUAACAAUAAGUUUGUAGGGAAAAGCUUUGUAUCUAGCCUAUUUAAUCUAAGUUGGUAGUUCCUCCAAACUUUGAUGAUGAUGUUUCUUCCUUUGUUAUAUAUGGUCUUAAAGAAUAUAUAUAUAUAAUGUUUAAGCAAGACGAAAAGUUUGACUCCAAUCCUCCACUACGGUUUUAGGUCAAGACUUAGUUAUUUUUUGCAAGUCAUUUGCAUGCAUCUACAUAAUAUGAAAUUGAAGUAGAGUUUAUCUUCAUCUACAUAAUAUUUUGAUCACUUUUAACUGAUCAAAGCAGCUUAUUUCGAACUCGAGCCUACCAUUUAUUUUGGGAAAUUUGUUUUUAGGGCAGUAUUUUUACAAGCAUCGUUCGAAGCUCGCAUUCCUUUCCAUUUAUUUUUGCAAUUUAUCUUGAUAUUAAAAUUUUAAAUUAUUAUUUUAUACAAUUAUUGGCAAUUUAUAAGAACUAUAAACUAAUAAUUAAUAAUGAGAUCUAUAUUGAGUGGUGAAUUUUGGACAAGACUUUGGACUCUCCCUUAUCUCUUUUCUACUCAGAUUGUUACUCCUCUUCAUACAUAUUGGAUCGUAAAUCUUUCAUGUGCCUUGAAGACUUGCGCACUCUUACUUGGCCAAUCCUUUCACCAUUCUUUUGACACAAUUAUGGGGAUUGCACCAUCCAAUGGCAACCCUCUUCUCCUCCUUUCACCUUGUACCUUUUCCUAUCAAAGUGGAUACAGACCUCUUGUUUACCCACCUACCAUCACCAACCAAGAUAUACUCAAUUCUCAAAUAUGUCUAAUGAUCUCAAUUUUUGUACUAUAUACAAUUGCAGCUUUCUUUUUCUAUGAAAAUCUUAGUUAAAUUCAAAACUUCUAGUAACUAAUGCUAACUUUAUUGCUUAUGUCAUCAACAUUUACUUUAUAUGAAAUAAUAAAGUAAAAAAUGAUAUAAGUUUCCUUGGCUUUGCAUCUAAUUCUAAGUUCAAAUUCAUAUUUUAUGAAUAUUCUAUAUGACAUCAUUAAAGAAAAUCCAUACUUGAUGCAUCAAAUUCCACGUGGCAUGCUCCACUCUAUUUGACAAUAUAUAGUCAUCUAAAAACAUAGAUACAAAGAGUGACAUUAGGUGGGCAUGAAGUAGCUGUUUCGACAACCUUUUGUAAAUAAUCAUAUCUAUAGCCAUUUUGGUAACUAAUGAUUUUUGCUGCUUUUAAUUAACAAAUCAAAUAUUUUAUAUAGAUUCCUUAUUUAUAGUUUAUAUUUAAUAAUUUAUAAUAUGAAAAGCUAAUAAUUUUUUUAAUCUAAUUUUAAGUUUAUAUUUAUAUUUUAUGAAUAUUCCAUAUGACUCUACUGAAGAAAAACCAUAUUUUACUCAUCAACUUCCACAUAGCACACUGCACUUCACUAUAUAUAUAUAUAGCCAUACUAAAAAUAUUAAUUACAGCACAACUCUUAUUUUUAAUGCAAACGGAGUGGCAAUAUAGGUGAGCAUGAAAUGGCUAUUCCAGCCAUAUUUUACGGAUAAUUAUUUUUGCUGCUAUUAAUAAAUCAAAAUUUUUAUACAAAUUACUUAUUUAAUCCAAGUUUUAUAUUUAAUAAUUUAAAAAUAUAAAAAAAUAAUCAUAUAUUUUUUUAUCAAGAAAGCUUACUCAGAUUAGAUCAAUCUAAGCGUGCCUUAAUAGCAUACUUUAGUCCACAUCACCGCAUAUAACCUUCUGAAAAUAUUAAUUAAAGCACAACUCUACUUGCAAUGUAACAGAUGAGUAUGAAGUGGUUGUUUCAAUAAUUUUAUUAACAAAUUAAAUAUUAAACUUGAGUUCUUUAUUUCAACUAUUUUAAAAUAUUUUUUAUAUUUAAUAUUUAAAAUUUGAAAAGCUAAUCAAAUAUUUUUGCAUGAAGUAAGUCCAGCUUGUAUUAGAUUGGCCCAACUACACUUUAAUAUUAUAUGUAGCUCUAUAAAAAUAUUGGAUUAAGUUCUGCUUGCAAUAUAAAGGAUGUGACAGUGGUUAUUUCAUUAACUUUUUACAAAUAAUAAUUUUGCAGCUAUUAACAAAUUAAAUUCUUUAUUUCAUUAUAUAUUUAACAUUUUGAAAUUUGAGAAGAAAAUAAAAUAUUUUUGUAUUAAGAAAGCUAGCUCAGAUUACACCUCAUUAACAAAGACCCCAGUACAUGUCAAGCAUAAGUAAAUUGAGAAGUUAUCAAAAUUAACUUGGUACCUUUAUAAAUUGAUUAGAAUUUGACAUUUUAAUAUAAGAUAUAUAAAGUAAUUUUAUUUUUGAUCUUUUUAUUGGGUUAUUGGCAUUACGGUUGUGUUAUUCUUUUUGGCCCCUCUGGCUUUCGCUCGCGCGGGUGAAAAGGCCACUAACGACUGGCUGUCUCGGAGCGGAUGGCUGGUUUUUAUUCCUCUCCUCACACUUUGUGGAGAGGAGAGCUCUUCCUCCUCCUCUUCCCCUCGUCCCUUUUUUUAUCCCUCCUUCUCUUUCCCCCCUCUCUUCUCUCCUCUCUCUCUCUCCUCCGCCUCCUCGUCCUCUCCUCUCUUCCUCGCUCUCCCCCUCUGAUCGAGGCCCCGACCGCCCGCCCGGCAUGGGAGAAGCUCCGUCCUUUGCGAUCCGGUGAUGGGGGAGGCCCGCCCAUGGACUACGACGGCGCCGGGAUCCAGAAGCGCGGCGCCAGGGCCGCUGCCGCGGCCGUAACGGAGGCAUCGUCGUCCUCGCGCGCCCCUGCACUUGAUGAAGGUAAGGGUUAGGUUUUCUCGAUGCCGCUCCCCUUUUUCCAUUGUUGCUCGUUCGGUUGGUCGCGGAAAUAUCGCGAAAGAUUCGUGUUUUGGGGGAUUUUUUAGGGAGGGAAUCUGAAAAGUCGGGUUUUUUUUUGCUGUUGAAUCUGGGGUUUCCAUUGGUGGAAUUCGGUUCCUGAAUAUUUACUUACUUGGAUUGAAGUGCCUUAGCGUUGAAAUCAGACUGCUUUUACGGAAUGUAAAAGGAAGUUUUUUUUCGUCUUUAAAGUGUUUUUAUUCUGUUUCGGUGUGUUCAUUGUUUGCUACCUUUUCGUCAUUGGUAAGAUUUGCUUGCUUUGUUAAUGUCUUUCUAUAUCUAUAUUAUUGCUGAGGUUCUAUCUUUCUCGUAUGAUUUCGUGAUCCCAUCUGCUAGAAUUCCUUUUGAUUGUUUGACUUCAGAAGAAGAAUGUUGCAACGAGAGCAGCUUUUAUUGAUGCAUUUCGGUUCAUGACUGAUGUCAAAUUGCAAACUUUGCAUGAUUCAAGAUUUCUUUGUAAAGCAACUGCUUGCGUUGAAAUUGCUAGUGCAGUCAGCACUAAAUUCUAUAUAAUCGAGACCAAUUGUUGUUUUGUUGUGGAAAUGAGAAAUGUACUUUUUUUCUGCAUAUAUAUGGAUCUUCCUCUAUCUUAUUGUCAAAAUUUAUUCCCUUAUGCAAUAUUGGCAAUUCAUUUUUUUCUGCAUAUAUUAUUUAUUUCGCUAUUCUUGUUUAAAUUGCUUUUCGUCCUGAAAUGGUCCCUUUUCAGUGUAUAACUAUGUCAAGUUUCCCGUGGAAGCAUAUGGGAUGUAUUUUGAAUCUAUGAUUCUGGUGCUACUGCAGAGACAAUGUGGCAGAUGAACCAGAGGGGAAGUGAAUCUGUGGAAUCUGGACUGUAUCCUGAGCGUCCAGGAGUGCCAGACUGUGCUUAUUACCUCAGAACUGGCCUCUGUAGAUAUGGGUUGACUUGCAGAUACAAUCAUCCUCCUGAUAGAAAGCUGGUAAGUCUGAUUGUUUUUUUAAUUGUUUAUGCUGCACCUAUCUGGAACUGUAUCUGCUUGAUCAUUUUGCAAUUACAAAAACAUGGUCUUUCUGUCAGUAUCUUUUUUGUUCCCCCCUCCCACUCCUUCGAUAUGAUAUUCCUACUGAGUGCUGAUAUUUAUUACUGAGUUUCUUUAUCAAACUAUAUGCUUUUAAUUGCCAAUGUGCUUUUGACUAGUUAUUAUCUUUCUAUAAAGACACUGUUUACCCUCCAUUUAUUCCGUUGUAUUGAUUGAGGCUGAUUGAAAUAAGAUGUGGACAACCCAGGUCAUAGUCCGGCUGUAAGAUCUAAUUAUUUGUCCACAAAAACACAUGCACGCACUUGGCACUUCCAUGUAUAGGUAUUUCAAGAUAUAUUGCUUUUCUUAUAACUAUCUCCACUCUCUUGGUAUCAACCUUACCUUCUUCUCUACCUAUUGGUAUAGCUUUUCUCAAGUCUAGGGAAACCUUAAAAGGUUGCCCUACAGUUCCAUGGGUGUAGAUCACAUUGGUGUUGUCAAUGGCACUCCGAGUGCUCGCCUAUAUGCCCAGGCGAGGUGAGGAAGCCCCUAAGUGCCUGAACAGCCCCCAGGCGCACUGAGACUACUAAGACGAUGCAUAGGUGAGCACUUGGGACAAAGCGAGAGGUGUUUGGGCAAGUGCCUCUCCAAUGUCCAGCAAUUCUUCCUUCCCCUUGUCUGUCCAUUCUUUUAGAGAUUUACUAGCUUUACUUUGAGGGUUAUCUUGGUUUAUUGAAGUCUAUAUAAAUAAAGGCUACUCUAGGAUGUCCAAUGAUUUACUUUUUUUGUUAUGUUUUGUUUUAGGAACAUCAAACAUCUUAUGGGAAGUGAUGUUUUGCUAUCAUGUUUGAAUUUUAAAGCUACUAAAGGAUGUCUAGUGGUUUUUAUUUUUAUUUACAUGAUAUGAGAAGUGGUAUUUUGAUGUCAUGUUUUGAAAGAUGUGAAACACACUAUAUAAUAUACAAGACAAUUAUGAUUUUUUAUGGUGAAACAUGAACAACUAAUCUUAUAAUGCUUGUAUGAUUUUCAGAUGCAUAUAGUGUUUAUUUCUAAUACAUUUGCUGAACUUUUAUUUGAUUAGUGCUUUGCUUUCUUCAGGCAAGCACCUUUUUGGCAUCUAGUACCUUAGGCAAUAUAAGGAUCCUGUCGCCUUAAGGGCUUUUUUUUGCUUUUAAUAACCUUGGAUCCAAGGUUCAUUGAACUAGUAUCGGAGGUUAUAUUGGUCAUCAAUCAACUCGAUACAGUUCAAGUCUGUACCAUGCCACUUCGGGGUGUACUGAAACAAGGACAGCUGAAAAGGGUGGGGGAGUGGGAGGAGGGAAAGGAAAAGAGAGAGAGGAGGGGGGAGAGGGAGAGGAAGAGAGAGAGAGAGAGAGGUCGAGAGAGAGGGGUUCGGAUCCGGUGAGAGAGAGAUAGAAGUUCGAAUCCAAGGGGAGAGAGAGAGGGAGGAAGAGAGAGAGAGAGGAAGGGAGGGUGAAAGGAGAGGGAGGGGAGAGGCCUAGAUCCGGAGAGAGAGAGAGAGGCUCGAAUUUAGUGUAUGUGUGUGAGAGAGGCUCAGAUUCAGUGAGAAAGAGAUGGAAGCUUGGAUUUGGCGAGAGAGACGGAGGGAGGGAGAGGGAGAGAGAGGAAGGGAAGGAGGGAGAGAGAUGCUUGGCGGCAAGAGAGAGAGAGAGUGGAGUGAGAUACUUACCUAGCUAGCUUCAUCAUCAUCGUCGUAUGACGACGGCAUUGAACCCGCCGAGGGUGGAGUGGGGUUAGGGUGUUGAAAUGGGAGAGGGGUGAACAAAGCGAACCAAACAGGGGAGAGGGAGAUUAUAUUCCAAACCAAACAUCUAAACUAUGCCAGUAACCGUUCGGUCCAGUUCGAUACACCCCAAACCAGUCAGUUCAUCGCGGUUCAGCAAUCCCUGCUUGAAUCACAUAUCUAGCAUUAGCAUAUAGGUGUUUUAGAUUUCAUGGUUGGCCCCUCUUUGUUUUUAAAAGAUGUCUGUGUUAAAAAUUUUGCACCAAACAGAGGAUUUAUGUCAGAUGGAGAAUUGGUUGUGAACUUUAGUUGACUUUGAUGGAUCAUCCAUUGUUCUUAAAAGGCUGAGUCAGUAUAGAUUGGACAAGCUUAUGACUAAGGUUAAGGCUAUGGUCAUGCUUGCCCUAGUUCAAAUCUCAAGGUAUACUUGCUCUUUGAAUAGUAUGAAACCUCUUAUCUAUCUAGAUAAUUUAUCAACAUUUAUGGUAGUGACUCACCCAUGUUAUUUUUAUUUUCUGAAAUAUUUGCAAGUUGAUAAAUCUGAUCAAUGAUGCUCUCUAUAUUACAUGCCUUUGACUAUAUUCAAAAUAUUAAAAACCAGGAUGAGCUUUUUAAUUAGACUCAACUAUUGAUGGUUGAGGUUUACAACCACUAUAUGCUAUUAUCUAUAAAGUUACUGAAAGACAUUCGCAAGGUAAAAAAAAAUAAAAAUCAUCUAAAUAUUUUAUGUUUUAGAAUAGAAGAACUCCACAUGUAACAAGACAAAACUUGUAGGUUAGCCUAGAGAACUAUUUUGUAUUUUAUGUUUGCUGAAGACAAACAAUAAUGCCAAAUGGUUGAAAAACUGUUUGGUAUCUCUUCCUUAAAUGCAAAAUUAAUCCUUAGACGUUAUUUAACAGUCCUUAUUCCUUCUACUUGGAUAAACAUUAUGAAUUUGUCUUUGAUUUGUUGAACAGCUACUUCCCCUCCUCUCUUUCUCUAUCUCUCUCUCUCUCAAACACUUUACUAGGAGCUUAGUUUUUUCUGGACAUGCUUACACCAUUUUGUUGGCUUUCUGUUACUUUAUCCUUACAUGCUACAUGUCUCUCGCAUCUUCAGGUUCUUCCUUUUUGUGUCAUCAUUCCUAGUUGUGCCACAUAUAUAAUCUAACAUCCACGAUGCCCAGUUUAUGUGCUUGAACCUACUUCUUUGGCAACCAAUAUCUCAAUCCAGAGAAUAUUGUGGGUCAUAUUCUUCUGUUAUGAUUUAUGGAAUUCUUCAAUUGUAUAAUGUAUGGCAGUAACACAACUAAAAUGUACUUCUCUAUAUCAUCCACCUUACACUAUGUCUAGAGUUGUGCCCAUUCUUUUGUUCUCUUGUAUGAUAAACCUUGCAUAGUGAAUAAGGUAUGGUGCCAAUCAUUGACUUUGAUUAAGUUCUUUCUUUAAUAUUUUGUAUUAGUUUAUAUGAAAAUCACAUUCCAUUUAUAGUUUUUGUAUAUCUUACAUAUAGACCCUUAUCUUCUAAAGACUUCCUCAUAAUUGACAUUAAAACAUCAGCAAAUUAAGGAUACCAUGCCAUUUCUCUGUAAUAUCAAGCAUAACUUGAUCAACUAUUCAAAGAGUUAUGGACUUACGCUACCCCCAUUUGAAAACUUAUUGAGUCACAAAUACUUGUAGUAUUUAUUAUAAUCUCAUCAUUUAUAUGCUUAAACUUUUAAAAUUCCUUUUUAGUACAUGUUUAUUUCAACAUCAGUGAGAUUAAAAUUUGUGGUAUACGAGUUAAGUCAGUUAAUUUAAGUUCCCCUUCCAUCAAUUGUUUAAUCAAGCAAUAGCCUUUGUGAUCUACCUUCGAUUUGUAAUUCAAAUAUGUUAGCAGUAAUGCGAUUUUUUUUGUUAAUUCUUGUUUCAUCAUUCUCUCUCAAGCUCAAUAGUGUGGUUCAUAAGUUAACUCUCACAAUUGUUGUUCUAUAUGUUUGCACACACAUUCCUCUGUAACAUUGAUUUCUUAUAAGGGUGUCAAUGGGCUGUCUUGACUGGUUGCACCUAGGCCCAACAUCAGCAUGGAUUUAAAAUACUUAGGCCCAAUCUCAGCCUAGCCGAAUCGAGGCCUGAGCCUGACCUGAAUACAAGUAUAUUCUCAGGCCAGGUAGGUCCCAAAUUCGGCCCCCUUCAUUCUAGACUACUUUCUAAGCUUGGGUCCACUUUGAAGUAUUUUUGGGCUUCCUUAGUUUUGAGCCUAAGCAGGCCUUAGGAUCUAAUAUAAAAGCUUGUGCAUAGUUUGUUUAGGUCAGGUUCUUCAGGCUGCUUGGUCUGGUCAAUUACGUUGAUGGUUUGCUUAUAAGCAGGUAGUAUUAUACUUCUUUGAUCCUGUGAAAUUUUUCAAAUUUUGAAGUUCUCAUUGACUAAACUAGCUCACCAAAUCAACCUAAGUUCUCUAACUUGAACGGCAAAAUUUAAUGAGAUAUUGCAUCUCUCUCUUACCCUUUUCAUCCUUUCAUCUUCAUCUCUACUUUGUUAUGUUAACAAAUUGGUAUUCAUGUAUCCUACUUAUGGUUUUGCUGAUUUUCCUCCAGAAUAUUCACUUGCUAAAUGUUAGAAAAAAUAUUACAAUCCUUAGGGUCUGUUCGGUAAUGCUUUUGUUUUCUAAUGUGCAAAAAGAAAAUUAAACUAGACUGAACAAAUUAUCAUUAAACCCUUUUGUUUUUUCAGAUUGUCUGUAAAACCUUAAGAGCUUUGGGCAGCAAGAGCUAAUACUUUUAAAAAAGUGAAAAGAAAAGCAAGGAAUGGCAGAAGAUCCAUGCAAAUGCUGUCUCUAGCAUCAAUCUCCAUGCACUGUUUCACUAAUUUGUAGUGAAACAAAAACACAAAAACAGCAAUAGUACCAAAUAGGCCCUUAUUCCCUUGACCCACAUACAUUGUUCCUAGUCCUAUUGUAUGCAAUGUGAUCCACCUCUUUUAUUUACUCUUGCAAAAAAGCUACUUCAUAGAUAAAACUUCUCGUCUUCAAAGAUGAUGCCAUCUAUUCCUUGCUAUUUUCACUUGGUAUGCAUUUAGACCUCAAAUCUCUCUGCAAAGUAUAUUAUGGUUCAUGCUGCUUACCUUCAGAUUCUUCAGGACAAAAGACUUUUCAGAGUCUAACAUCUGACUCCACAUCAUAUACUAUAACAGCUUUCAAGCUUUACUAUUCAAUGAUUUUUAAGAGAUGUUACACACCCCUUGCUACAUUUUUUACCUUAUUUUGGCAGAAUAUGGCUUCAUCCCAUUUCUUCUUGCUCAUAGUGUAGGAGCAUAACCAGUAGCUUAUGUUGCAUAGUUUUAGUCCACUUUUUAAGAUCUUUGUAUUUGAUUUAUCAUUUCUUCUAAAGGGAAAAUAAUUAAUCUGCAAGCAUUUAAUAAAUCCUGACAGUCAAGCAAAUGACUUGGAAAAAGGUUUGUACAAUUUUAGUUAGUAUAUUGGAUAGUGCUAGUUUUACUUGUGCUGAUUUUUUUUUAAAAUAUCUUUUAAAAGAAGAAUGUUUGAAAGGUUUUCUUUGCUUGCAAUAUUAAAAUGUGGCCCUCCUUGCUUGCAUGGUUCUACCCUAGUUAUGGGCUAUCGCUUAGAUGUAGUUGAGGUUAGAUGACUGAACAACAAGGCAACUACCCUUGGUCAAAGACCUUAUACAUAAUAGAUUUUUCUUUUUUCCACUCUGACAUUACUGCUUCUCCUAAGGGAACUUGAACUAAGAAUAUAAGGGAACACUUGGUUACUUUUAUCAUAUUCUCUUCUACACUAAUCAAGGCAAUGUUUUUGUGGACAAAAAAAUCAAAUCAUCUCUCUUCAAAGUUUUUCUCAACUUCGGUAAGCAAAUAGUAAUAUUUCAACAUUAGACUAACUAUUACUAUUUACUAUAAUUUUUCUUUUUAGACAAGUGACAAGCUUAUGGGUUAAUGCAAACCCGAGCCAUACCAUCUUUAUUUACGUUAUGGAAGGCGAAAAAAGAUAACUUAUUUAUGAUGAUAACUUAUCGAUAUGAUUAUUUGUUAUUUGGAUUCAAGUUAUCUACAAAGAAUCACUUAAAGAAAAACAUAAUAAAAAGCUUUUCUCCCAUUCAGUAUAAAGAUGAUUGAAGGCAGAAUGUGUACUAUCUUUCCAUGAUUGUUAGCUAAACUCUAUUCCAUAUGUUGCAUGUUAAUCAAAUUAUAUGACAUACAAGAAUUUCUAGCCAGACAUAUUAAAUUGUCCAGAAUUAUUCAUGAUCAAUAAUGUUAGAUAACCUAGAAAUCUUUUACCAUAUAUGUAAAUGCUUUUAUUGCAUGUGGUUUUGAUCUUGUAUUGACAUUUAGUUUUUUGAAUGUUUUUUAUGUGCACUUAUAUAAGAGAAUUCUAUGAGAAUUGAUGGUCUUGAUUAGGUCCUGUUAAAUGCCAGGCUAUUGCUGCUGCAAGAAUUAGGGGUGGAUAUCCUGAAAGAGUAGGUCAACCUGAAUGUCAGGUAACCUUACAUUAUCAUUUUCCCCUUAAAUCAAGUUCUGUUUAUUUCUUUUCAAACUUUCCCUGCUUUUAAAGGUUUAUUGGUAGUAAAUACUUUUUGAUCAAUUGCUGGAUGGUCAACUUGUAUGUUUCAACCUCCUAAAGAAAGGAAGAAAAAGGAAAAAAAAGAAAAAAACUCCUGAAGUGAAAGUGCUGCACAUUAUGAUUUAGUUGCUUUUGGUCAAGAAUCAACACAUGGUGCUGCUGUGCAUCAACGGUUUUUAAAGGCGCAUAUCUUGGCCAUCUCAGGCGGUGAUUGAUACCAAGAUGUACCAAGAUAGCGGUCUAUCUCAACUGAGAUGGAACACUAGAGGAAUUCAAAAGAAAAGAGACCAGAUAUCCCAAGAUCUUUGCCAACAUCUAAUGGCUGAGAUUUGAAAUAUCUGCUAAUAUGGAAGAAAAAGUUUAACCACUGUUUUAGGACUUAAUUUAAUAUUUAGUGAAUAAAAACACCAUUUUGAAAACUCUACUGAAAAUAUUGAAAAAUCGUGGCUGAUACAUCACUAUUGUGUUGAUUGAUAUCUCCAGGCAUGUGGGCCUACAUCAGCUGAUGUAAUAUGAGCCAUAUUUUUUGUUUUUAUCUGUGAGUGAUGAAAAUCUUGGUGUACAUUGGAGAAAGCGGACUUGUUCCUAGCCAUCUGCUUAGAUGCUUGAAAACCUGGUUUAUGGCUUCUGCCACUCCAUAUAAAAGAAGCAAUCUGCUGAUAACUUGUUAUUUGAUAUAUCUCUACUCAGGAUUUGUAUCCUUAUGGAAUUUAGAUCUCUAUAUGGAACACUAACCUGAGAAAAUUAUGUGUUGAUUCUUUUGGGAGAUGUAUGCUUGUGUUGAGAGCUCAAGAAUUGAAUGGCAAGGGAUGGUUGGCGAGCAAAUCUUAGCACUAUAAAAUCUUGAGUCUUCUUGGCUUCUGUCUUUUAGACCUAUAGAGCUCCUGUAUGAUGCUGAUUCUUUGUAAGACCAUGCUUAAAGAUAUUUGGCGAGAAUUAUGCAUUUAAUUUCAUAACAGGUUGUCUCCUUAGAAUACACUUCUAUUUAUUCUUUUUUGUACAAUAUAUUCCAUUUGUUUCUUGCAAGGAUCCCUUUGCUGUUUUUUAAAUAGAGGAUGUGAUCAAGCUAAAGUCACAAAUACAAUUGCUGUACAGCUAAUGUUAAGUGGGAUGGUCACUUCAAACUAGUCUAUGUUAUUGCUUUAAUGAUUUAUAUAUCAUAAUGCAAACUACUUUGAGUUGCUUGUUUGUGAAGCCUGUGAUGCAAGUAUCGGGCAUCCUCAACAACCCUGCCAUCUUUUACUAGAUUCACCUCACACUAAGGGAGGGAAAAAGAGUUUUACAUCAAGUUACAAGAUUAAUAGAAAAUUAUUUUUAAUUAGGAGAAUCAUGGCCAUCCAUACUUCAUAUCUCAUACACUGCAUAUGCCCAAUGCUGGUGGUGUAUGUUGUUUGAAGCAUGGUUUGCUGAACUAGCCCAAACCGACUGGUUCAGCACGUACCGUGACGGUACCAGCGCUAACCCGUACGGUUUGGCUGUGGAAAAUGGGUUAGACCAAUUUUUGCUGUGUACGGGUGUGAACUGCAUUAGCCCGCGCGCGGGGGCCCGCGCUCUCACGGUCCCUGUGCUGGGAACCACGUCCGCAUGCAGUUCUCCGCAUCACGCGGGAUAUUUACUGCCACAAAGUGGCAUUUAACGUGGGGCGCGCGCGCACAGAAAAGGUGCCGGUUUGGUACCAGUAUGAACCGGAACUGUACCGGUUCUGGUAUGGCAUACCUUGGUUUGAAGCUAAUGAUGACGCCAAGAAUUUAUAUAAUUAGGCCAGUAAAGUACAUCAGGGAAGAAGGGCUCAUCAAAGCCUGAACUGUUUGGGCAUUAACCUCCUAUUUGAAUUCAUCUAGAAACCAAAUUCCAUGAUUGUUGAUAAUGUCUGCUGCAAAUAAGAAUGAAAUUUCAUAGCUUAAAAAAAAAGCAUUCCUGUUUUAAAACAUCUAACUUAUGAAUACCAGAAGGUAGCAAAAACAUAAUCUCAAUAUAAUUUUUAUGGAGGAUUCCUUAAUUAGAUGAACUAAUGAAGUGUCUUCUUUGAAGAAGCCCAGGAGAUGGGCUUGCAACUUCCAUAUAAGUCCAAGUAAGACAGCUUGAAAAGGGAAAAAAUUUUAAAUGAUACAGGAAUCAUGACAUAAGAAUGAAGAGAGAAAAAGAAGAAAAAAAGAUCAAGUGCUGCCUGGUCGUGAUGUGUUUUGCACUUCUAAAUGGCAACUUGCAAUAAGUGGUAGAAAUCUUCUUUCAUUUAUAGAAACCUGCCUGAGUACAAAUUUUGAACAGACUUCUCAAUUGUAACUGCCACAGUUAUGAGAUUCACUUGAAUUGAGUGCUCGUUGGAGAGUUCAAUACUAUAUGCUGAAUUGCUUGGCUCAUGGCUUAGGCAAAAGAAAGAGAAAGGGGGAGAAAGGAAGAAGGUGGUUCAAGUACAACUGCCUCUUCCUAUCUCCACUCCCUAUCAUUGAUAUAAAGAGCAUUCCUUGUUCUCCUCAUCCUCUCCUUUUUCUAAGAAGCAUUAUAAACUUUCUUUCUCAUUUUCUUCCUACUUUAAUUCAACUUGUCUUUAUUCUGCACGUGGUGUUCUGAUCUGAUGCCUGUAAACAGUCCACAGUGAGGUCAAGGGUGGUUACAGAUUUGAAAGCAUCUGAUGCACAUCCCGAAGUGUUUGCUGUGUUGAAAUUUGUCUUGUUUGAAAGCAAUUUUUUUAGGAUACAUGUUGUCCUGGUCAUGUUAAGAUGCAUUCAAGUCAUUAACAUUGACUUCAGUCUGUUAUUUUAAAACUGUUUUGUGUAGUCUAAUGGCAUUGUCUUCCUUUCAGCAAAUAAAUGUUUGGACUUCAUUUCUGUAUUUAUUUAAUCUCUAAUGAUGAGUGAUAAAUCUAAUUUUCUUUCUGUCUACCCUUUCUAGUAUUAUCUUAAGACUGGAACAUGCAAAUUUGGAGCUACAUGCAAGUUUCAUCACCCCAAAGAUAAGGCUGGAAUUUUUGGGCGAGCUCCACUUAAUGUUUUAGGAUAUCCAAUUCGUCCGGUUUGUGAUUGCUAUUUGCUUUUAUUAUAUUGUUUCAUUUGCUAAAGAAUUUUAAUAACCGUUCCUGCAUUUCAGUAGUGUUUGCAUAAUAAUUUGUGUAUUUUUUCUUUUUGGUUGUAGAAUGAGAAGGAGUGUGCAUAUUAUUUAAGAACUGGACAGUGUAAAUUUGGGAACACUUGUAAAUUUCACCAUCCGCAACCUUCUAAUGCAAUGGUUUCCUUACGUGGUUCUCCUGUUUAUCCUCCUGUAUCGCCUGCCUCUCCUGGUCAACAGUCUUAUCCUGGUGGUUUGACAAGCUGGCCCUUAUCGAGUGCCUCUUUCAUUCCAAGUCCUCGAUGGCAGGGUCCUUCUAGCUAUGCUCAAUUGAUUCUUCCUCAAGGGUUGGUUCAAGUACCUAGCUGGAAUGCAUAUCCUGUGAGUUCGGUUUGUGCACUUACAUUAGAUUCUUGAAUACCCAUCAUUUGUAUAAAAGUUUACUAAUUCUCUUGAUUAUCCAAUAUAAAAUGCAUCUGACCCCUGGUUCAUGUCAAUAAUAUGUGAAUUUUCUUGAUAGUAUAAAUACUCUAUUGUGUUGGUUUAUCAUGCUUAUAUACAUGUUUGUGUGUGUAGGGUGCUCUGUAGAUCUCCUUUUUGAUUUUCUUUUUUUAUUGUUUGUGUUUUUUCUUUGGAUUUUGCCUACUAGGAAACUACUUGUAAACAUAUGUUACUUUUUGAGUGUGCAAUUACUGAGGUGACUAACAUAUUCUUCUCUUUUUUCUCUUUCUUUUGCUGUCUAUUUUCUACUUUUCUUUCUUCGUACCUUUUAUGUUACAAUGCAAACACUGGAGCCGUGACUCCAUAAAGAUAGAACUCCUUUUCUGCUGUUGUUGCACUCUCCUCAGAUUUGGUAAGAGAUUUACGAGGAAGGUUUUAAGUACCAGGUCUUACCUACCAAGCGUACUUUAUUGGAAUGGUAGGGAAUUACUUCUCAGUACACCCCCCAUACCUACCCUACGUACUAGACUGCCAUGCUGUACCAACACUCAGUAUGCCAUACUGGUUGGUUGCUGGUACAGGUACUGGUAUUGGUACAUAGAACCUUGAUUACAAUCAUAGUGUAUUAGCAUAAUAUGGAAGUUAGUUAUUCAGGCUCACCACCGAAACUAUAUGUCCUCAUGGAAAAAAAUUCUAACUUAAAACAUGUUACUGGUUGGUGAGAUCAAGGCCAUCCAGCAAAUACUACUACUCUUUUUUACUGGCAUGCAUAUUAGGUGCCAACUUCUUGCUUCCAUGAUACAAAUUUUUGGUCUAUGAGAGCCAAUAUUUUAUUUGAGGCCCCUUUGAUUGCAAUAUAUUCUUUUCCUUUCCUAUUUGCCAUUGGCAAGCAGACAACUUCUGUUAAAAGAUACAGAUAUGUAAUGUUACAUCAGUUGAGGAUUAUGAAAAUCAAUAAAGUCAGAAACAAGGCUUGGAGAUAAUAUUUUGGUAAAAUGUGUUUCUUCCUGCCAUAGAUUGUUGAAUGCCAUUUUAGAAAAAGAGCUCUCGUUAAGAAAUUUACUACCUGGCUCCCUCACAGUCAUAUUUUUCUUCUGUUGGACCUCCCACCAAGAGGCAUGGUGGGUAAAUCAGAGACUUUCUUGUCUGCCUUUCUUAAUUCAUGAAGCCAGAGUUUGCAAAUUAUACUAAUAGAUGCAGGAAGUAUCCUAAAACAAAAUUAUUAUGUGAGAGGUAGCUACAGGAACUGCAAUAUCGGGAAGGCAAUCAUGUUUUUGCUUCCACUCUCAGCUUUACAUUCUUAGCUUUAUUUUUCCCCUUUUUAUUCACACUUUUCCUGAUAGAAGUUUUUGCCUGUUGUUCAUGUAUCUUUCUUCAAUUAGUGCACAUUAAGCCUGUAUAAGACUUGGUUUGAUCUUUACUUUAUUCUUAGGCUCUACUGCUUUACUGCAGUUGAUAUUGUAUUCUCACUUUACUCCAGCAUUAUGUUGGUUCUCCAAUUUAUUGGUAUUACAACAAACAAAUUGUUGUCUGCUGAAGUGUGAAAGCCAAAUAUGAGUCACUGCCUAUGAUUUCUGUUGUUUUGAUUGAUUUGCUUGGUCUGUCAACCCCUGUAUAAUGCAGACAACCAUUUGCACAAGUAUAUAUGGUGAAUGAUUUUGCUUCCUAUGAAAGUUUAUGUAUCCUUGUAGGUUUAUCCUAAAUAACUUGAUGUUGUGCUAUGUUGAGCAAACAUCCUUAGAAGUUAGAACCCUAUAUUACUUCAGUGUCCAACCAUCUUCAUCAGUUUCAGUUUUCCUCCCGACUCUAUGAUUUCUUAGAUCUGAUAUUAAAUUAUUUACAGAAUUUAUUAGAAGUACUUUUAUUGUUAUGUUCUGAGUUUUCUCUGCAGGGACCUUUGGGGUCUGUUUCAUCUUCUGAGAGCCAGCAACAAACACCAGGGACUGUUCAAAUGUAUGGAUCUUCUCGCCCAAGUGAAACAAGUAUGGGAGUUCAAGGGACAAUCUCAUCAUAUCGAUCCAGUUCAACUCCUAUGGGCCAGUAUGCAUUGCAGAGGGAUAGUGUGUUUCCCGAAAGGCCUGAUCAACCUGAAUGUCAAUUUUACAUGAAGACUGGAGACUGCAAGUUUGGUGCAGCCUGCAAGUUCCAUCAUCCUAAGGAGAGAUUGGUUCCUGCUCCUAACUGUGUGUUGAGUCCAUUAGGCCUUCCGCUGCGCCCAGUAAGUUAUACAGUCAACCUUCGCAUUUCCCUAAUGCCUUGAUUGAGGACCCAUGAAAAUGUUUUAAUCCAUGCUGAAUAACUUCUGUAUCUGUUUCCUAGUCAGUUGCUGGAGAUGUAAUGAGAUCAUGUUCUUUUGUUUCAAUUUUUUAUGUUAUUGUGCAGAACUACCUUGUCCCGCUGACAUUUUCCUGUAUAUAAUUUCGAUUGUUUAUCUUCUUUCAUAUCAAUAUGUUGUGUGCAUACAAGUUGCAGUUUUCCAUUCAUAUAACUGAUUUGAAAUGGAUAGCUUUACAAAUUAGCAAGAUGCAACUAUGAACAUUUCUUGAUUAGCAGUAAGAAAGUGGGACUGCAUGGACUGUGUAUGGUUUAUUAUAAUUACCACAUAGGAGCAAACUUUCUUAAUUAGUAGCAAGAUUAGGUUGAAUUGUGUCAAUUUUUUGGCACCCAUUAGCAGAUAGUCCUUGUUGAUUUUCCUAAAGAACACACUUUUUGAUUAGGAUAUCAAUUGAUCUAAGUUAGUUAUUGUGUGGUGUUUUAUCUUGGAUUAAGUCUUGAGUUACCUCUUUAGUUCUGGACAUUGCUAACAAUCAACAUGCAACAACAUAAAAGACACUUGACUACUGAAAGAAGCAUAAUUGAAACAUCUAGCCAUGAAUUUUCUUCACUUUUUCGAAAAAUAUUGUGCAAUCAUAUAACAAUACGUGAUAAAGAUAAAAGAUUAGUACACACCCCAUCCAACAUUUCCUAGCAUUGUAGUCAUUAGUAUCAACAUACUUUUGCUGUUUUGCAUAAUGUGAAGAUCUUGUAGCAGGCUGAGGGACACAAACUGAGUGUUGAGGAGGAACUCAUCAAUUACUGAAUCUAUAUUGGUCUUGUUUGUAGAUUUUAUAAUUUAAAUUGUCAAAGGAUCAACAGUUUGAUACUGGCACGUGAGAUAGUGCACAGCAACUUUGUUAUGAUAGGUUCAUAGCCUCUUAAAUUUUAACCCUUGCGACACUUUGCUCAUCUCAAUAACCAUUGCAUAGUUAUGUUAUCAGUCAUUCGAGAUGCUUGUGUAACUUUGAAUGUGCCAGAUGAAUGUCUUGAUGCUCCUUUUAGGUGGGAAGAGUUUGUUCACCUCUGGUGCAAUCACUCCAGAUAUAUCUCAACAUUUUAAAAUAUAAAAAUCUAGGGAAUCCUCAAAUGUCCCUUCUUCUGUUCUAAAAAAAUAAUAGAAGGAUCAAAACAAAUGCUUGCAUGUGUAUUUUAUAGUUUUCAAUUAUUUUUAUCUAUUUUCUUUUACUAGCAACUAAGGUUUUACAUCCUAUUACCUUGCCAAAUAACUUAUUAAAAGAGUAAUUUAUACCUAGUCAGAAAUAAUGAUACAUGUCAUUUUGUUUUUAGUUUUUUAAAUCUAUUAAUGAAAAUGCCAACUUAGCAAGCAGGUCAAAUUGAAUUGAUGGUUGUACUAGAGACAGGUUCAGAUCUUUCUCUUUACCAGGGUUUGGGUGGUCCAUAGUUUUUAGGGGGAGGUCUAACCCUUGUCGUAUAACCUAACACUUACACAUCUCCUCUAACCCUAACCCCCCCACCCUGCCUCGCCUGCAGAAAAAAAUAAAACGAACACACACCCCAAAUAAAAAGCACUUAGUUGAAGAUUAUUCUAAUAUUUAAUUGCAAGGCUAAAAUUUAAACAUUUUAGUGGAUAUGUAGAAUGGCCUUUAAUGUAUGACAUCCAAAUAAACUUGAAUAGAUGAACUUGUUGGAAAUAUGGGCUGCUCUGCAUUUGUCAUGAUUUGGGUGAGAAAUAAGUAGGCAUUUUGUUUCUUUGCUAGAAUUGGAAUUCUGAUUUGUGGUUGACUUAAUUUCAUGAAUCCAGCCAUGCGUACAUAGAUUUGUGAUUUGCGAAAUGUACAUAAAUCUAAUGAACAAAAAAGUGUUUAAUUCUUUUUUCCAGUAUUUUAAAAAGGACUAAGACAUUCAUUUGCCUCUUUGUAAAAGCCAUGAACUGUGUUUGGAUAGACUUUGGCAUCCGUUCUUCCUUUAAGUCUAUGGUCGUAUAUAGGGAGGGGAGAGGUUAAAAAAUGUGGAAAUGAUAGGUUUUUAAGGAGUAAAUGUGCUCGGGAUUUUUUUUUAAGGAUAAAAGGUGGGAGAAAGAGAACCCUCCCCCAACACAAUUAAUGGCUAUUAUUUUUUCAGUGCACUGGUCUUUGUACAUCAUUUUCCAAAUUUUUGAAUAUUUGCCAUUGGUUUAGAUGGCAGUUUCUUGCAUUUCAGUCUGUUUGUAUCCUUUUUUCUCUUUAGGUUGGGAAGGGGGGGUCUAGAUAUACACUACAAUGUUUAGCUUAACAUUAUAGGUUCUGUGACAUUAGUUAAAUAGAAAAUAUAAAAUAUUAUAUGAAUGGAACUGCAUUUUAAAAAGUUUCAAAUUUUUCAUUGCAAAUCUUUUCCUGAAAGCAGCAAUUUUGCCGCUGAGUGUAUUUUCCUGAUUUUUUAGGAAAUGGUGGUGCUUACUUUGUUGUUUCUUUUUUUACCCCUCACAGGGAGAACCCUUAUGUGUAUUUUAUUCUCGUUAUGGUAUCUGCAAGUUUGGUCCAAAUUGCAAAUUUGACCAUCCCAUGGCAACUCCCAUGGGAAUCUUUGCAUACAGUCUUUCUACAUCUUCGUCAGCUGAUGCCCCGGUAGUUCGCCGUUUAUUGGCAUCCUCAUCAGGACCUUCUGCACUUACAUUGUCAUCGGAACAUCCUGUUGAAGCUAGCACUGGAAAUUCCAGACGACUUUCCAUGUCAGAGUCUCGGCAAAUGGCUUCUGGUGAUGAAAAUGCUGAGGCAGAGGGAUCGCAUGCCACUACAAGCAUUGGGCCAGUUUCUUCCUUUUCCUAACCUUUGAGGUAAGAGAAUCCCUGUAAAUUGAGUUCCGGUGCUAGAUGUACAGUUUUUCAAGAAGAGUUGAAGCUGUUCAUCUUAAGAUAUGUUUACUUGACAGAAAUCUCAUUCACGUUGUUAGAUCUGCACACUGUUUUAUUUUGAGUUAAAGUAUUUGAAAGAGAAAAGGUUGUUUAUUUUUUCCCAUUACUCUUUUACAAAGAUCACCUUUCCUGAUGGUCUGUCUGUGUCAAGCUAUUGGUUCUUACCGUAUCAGUUGUCUAGAUCUCUAAUCUAGUAAUUACCUGUAGCACAUUGGUCAUGAUGCACCACUUCUUGCUUGUCAUGUUUGCACAUCAGGUCUUAAUCCACCAUUAUAGCUGUACCUUUCUAUUCUUUUGUUCAACCAGGUUUUGAUAUUCCAAAAUUCGAAGGUUUGUGGGGAAUCUUCUUUAUUAUUCCCAAUUGGUCUUUUUGAUUGUGCAUAUCGGUGAUACAUAAUGCUCCCUGGUGGCUGCUGACAUUGUGCUCUAGAUGCUGAAGACAUUUGAAGUUUCCAGCUUCAUGUAAAGGAAGCAACCUCAGAAAUUUGUAUUUUCAAACUGCACUUGCAAAGACCAUCUCGCUAUUGUCAUUGCUUAAGCUCAAAUACAUCAUUGUUAGAGCUCUAGAAACCUGCUGUUCUCCAUUGUCCAUAGGAUUGCUUGGUUUCCAUCACAAGCUUUGCAAUAAGCUUCAAGUUUUUCAGCCAGGAUUGUGGCAAUAGACAGAUUUGUCAAUUAAAAUACCCUGCUGCAUAUGAAUCAAUUAUGCAUUAUUGUACUCAUUUUUGAGUACUACGGAAGUCUAUAUCACUUAUAAAUUGCUGUUCUUUGAAUAAAUUUUAUCUGAUUAACGGCUUCUCCAAUGUGACCCUCGUUAAUGUUUGUUGUGGGUCUGCUAGUUGGCAAGUAAUUGAAAGGCUGCUUGGAUCCAAGCUAGAUGUUUUGAACAUAGGUGAAGUUUAAAUUUGCUUUUUGGAAGCUUUCUUGACAAGGCAGUUAGUUUACCAAUUAUUAGGAAGCAUAUACAUUUCUUCAGUGCUUAGCUGAAUUAGUCCUAUAAUUACCUUGUGAUGCUGACUAACUUUUGAAACUUAUUUCGAGUCACUUGUAUACUGGAAAUAGGAAAUUCAAGGACUAGGAGUAUCGAUUGGUGUAAAUUGUAUUCCAUCUGGUCAAGGUAUCGGAUUUGGCUUUCGUGGUAAAUUUGUAUGCACAGAAAUUGACAGUAUUUACAUUUGCUCAUUGCUACAGCAUGAAGCUUAAGCAUUAUGAGCAUCGAAUAGAAGGUUCUUCUAAACUAGGUAACCGUUGGAUGUAAAACAACCAACUGCUGCCCAAUCAGUUGAAGCAAGUUAUAUAUUUCUGAUUUUAGCUAUCAUAGUGGAUUGAGAAGCCUCUGUUGUUGAUCAUUUGAUCUAGUGAUAUAAUAGCUAAUAUAACCCUCCUUGUCUGGUUGAGGGCUCCUCAUGCCUGUGGCAGCUUUAUCUUUGUGAGCCUUCAAACCGAGUGGUCUGUGCCAUGUAUAUUUGCAAGAACUCCAUGACUGCGAUAGCUUUAAAAUCCUGGAACAGCUUAAUGGAGCACAGUGUUGUGAUAACUUGGAAAUCCUAAGCAUCUCAAUGGAGUCCAAAUCCUGACUUCAAAACAGUGAACUGACUGCUUAAUCCUUGCUGAUUCCAGGAAGGCCUGGAAAUGUGGUCAGUGUGAUAACUACUGUGCAGAUUCAAGGCGUAUCUGAACAAGUCUGAAACACAGGAGACUACUAAAGAAAGGGAAGGUUAUGUCUUAGAAUAUUCAUUCAUACUUUUGUUUUAUUGGAAUCAAGACCAUCAGAUAGUUCCAUAUACAUUGAUUACAUAAGAUUCAUAAAGCCACCGUAUCUGAGGACCAUUUUCCCUAUACCAGUUAUACAUACUCCCUUGGCCAUCCUGUUCCAUGGCUUGUGCUUCAGGGUGUGGGCAGGCUAGGCCAUGCUUGGCUGCUCAAGAAGAGCUCCUUGAGGGGUAGGCCAGGGUCUGAAGUCCUGCAAGGCUUUCUCACAUACGCAUGGGGUUCAUAUUUCCUGUCAGAUCUCAUUUCAGUGGUAGAAUGUCCAUUAGCAGGUAAACAUUGUAACCAGUAUAUUAAAAUUAGGGGUGCAAAUGAGCAUAGUUGAGUAUCAUGCUGCUCAAACUUGGCUCGAUAUAUAAAGGAACUGCUUGAGUUGGUCUCGGGUUCUAGACAAGCUUAACAUGUAUAUCCUUCUGAGCAGCUGAUUAAAUAUCAACAUAGCCUGCUUGUACAUCCAUCUAAACUCGAGCAAGUUUACCAAAAAAAAAACUUCUCAAGCCAUCACAAGUUGAUCAAAUAUCAACACGGCCCGCUUGUACAUCUAUCUAAACUUGAGCAAGUUUACCAAAAAAAAGAAAAGAAAAUCUUCUUAAGCCAGCACAAGCUGUUCAAUUUUGAUGAUCAGUGCUGUUGCCGAAGAGAAUUUGUCCUGUACCUGGUAAUUCUCUGCAGGGCAUUUCUUCUCAACUAGCUCUUUUUCCUAAUUACAUGGAUGCUUGUUUUCUACUUUUUUUCUUUCUUUUUCUUUCUCUUUUUUUUCAAUGGUGAAGGAGGUCAGAUCCAGUUAAAUACAUCUCAUGAAAGACACACCUGCGAGAACAAAGAGACAGCAUCAAUUCUAUUUUCAGUAGCUUAUCCUAUCAGCCAGACGGCUACCUGAUUCCCCAAAAGAGUACCGAGGCAAUGAAAAGAAUCUAGUGACAUCCGACAAAGCCUAAAUGUUGGAAAAGGAUAAGGUGAUGUUGCCAGGCAACAGAACUGGCAGAAGGAAAGUGCUUGCAUUAAAUCCAAGCAAUCACCGUGGCCUGAAGAAGCUGCCAGCUGCCCUUUAGACAACCUUUCUGCGCCACAGCCAAUUCCAUGGGUGGAACCAGAGCAAGUCACCUUCUUUCAGCAAGAAGAUCAUGCCCUCAAUCAUUAUAGAGCAUAUGAGAAUCUAUGCGAGCAUGUGUUUAUUUCCGUAUUGGAUAUGUAUCAUCAAAAUUAUUUAAGCUGGAUCAAGGACUCCAAUUAAAUAUUUCUAGGUAAUCAAUUAAAUAUUUCUAUGUAGCUCUUUUAGGUAAGGUCUUGAAUUAUUACAUCGCACGAACCUAGCACAGAGGUAUCUCCCCUCCCUUCAAAAAGAAGAGCCUUGGCGCCCUAGUGUACCAAUGUUGAAGAUCGACACUUGGUACACACUGCUCUGCAGUACUCAUAGGAUAGAAAAGUCGCUUUCCUUCUCACUAGCUAACAGAUAGAUAUUUUCUUUUGAUAAAGUCAACCUUGGGUCCUCCAGUACAUUCAAUAAUCCCACCAUAGAAUUGGAGUGAGAAGCCCCGCAUUGACCCAAGUAUGACACAAACCCAUUUAUACCAAACUCGAACCUACUUAAAGGAGGUCGGUUGCAGAUCAAGUCAUAAAUUGCCAUACCUAAACCUCAUACCCACCCCCUCUUCUCCGAAAAACAUAAUUGAACCCAGAAAUUCCAGUAGAUUUUGCAUAAAAUCCAAUUAUUUAUUGAUUUUACAAAAAGGAUUAUAUUUAUUUUAUUUUUUCUACAAAUAUAUACAUAUUUUACGGUUCGGAUGAUUUUGCCCUUGGUUCUAAACAUAAUAUGAGCGAUACACAAGUUUAAUAAGCCUGAUAAAUACUUUCUGAAUGCUCGAUAUAUAUUCUUUCCUUUCAAAAAAAAAAACAAAAUAGAAAAGAGUUUGAUCCAAGAGUCGCACCCGUGUAUAACUACGGGGCAGUUCCCCCUCUGAUAUGUCACUUGGAGUGAAAUCUAGUGGAUAUCAAUGGCACGACGCAUCCUGGACCCACAAUUUAUAAACAGAGCAAUAUGACCACUGAGAUAACACUAAGAUCAUCGAAUACAUAUAUUUCAAAUAAUUUUGGAUAUCCUAUAUAAUAUUGUUUAGACUAUUCCCCAUCUCCUCCUCCGUUCGCACGAUAAGAUCUUUUCAUUCGCUAUGUUUUAAAGGGACACAACCAUAAUUAUGUAUUUUUUCAUGGGUAUUUUGGUCAAAAAGUCAGAUGUCAUAAAGCAAAAACAGCUUCCCAAUGUUUGCUAGAAAGUACUUUCCGACAAAGUUAAAAAACAGCUUUCACACUUUUUACCAAACACCACUAUAAUCAUCCAUAGUGCUUUUGAAGAGCUAAAAAAUGUUUUCUAGCUCCCCAAAAGCUUUGCCAAGCAGGGCCUUAAAAGUAAAUAAAUAAACAAGUAAACAAGUUCAACCUACUCUUGCAAAAUCAAUUAUUGAGUUUUUUUAAAACAAAAUCCACAAGGCUUAAUGAUGCAUGCUUUCAAAAAUAAAAAAUAAAUCAAUAUCAAAGGCUCAAUAAUAAAAAGAUAAACAGUUCUAAGAUAAGGUCUGUCUGAUCAGAAUCCUGGAUGGGAUAAAUCAUAGUUUUGCUGGAUUCCAAAUGUGCUCACUACUGUACUCCAGAUGGUGAAUGGCACAAGAUGAUUUCUACUAAGUGGAGCCACUAAAAAAUAAACACAGGCUAUGGAAAAGUUACAGGCUAGUUCACAUGUACAGAGAACAGAAGACUGGGGGACCUCGGUCAGAAAAACUUACCACCAGGAUAUAGUAUGAGAAGGCCAUGAGGGUUCUGUCAGAGAGUCCGGAUGUAGUCUCAUGUUAGAAUAUCCUUCACCAACAACAAAAGAAUGGUAUGAAAUAGAGAGGAAAAGGUUCUCUGAAAAUGAAAUUAGUGUUACAAUAUUUCGAACAGAGGUAAUCAGAUAUCUCAAAAGAAAACACUAAUUUAAGGCAGCAUCCUAUGAGGAAACCAUGUACCAGUGUCAGAAUCUUGCCCUGAUCCUAUCAUCAACCUGUAGCACAAGCUUUCUCCUAAUGAGGCCAGUAAUCAUCAUUACCUCGCUUUUUCACCAAGAUCUGGUUGUACUCAGGUUGUGAUGUCUGUAGAAGAACAUGACUCAGUAAAUUAUUCGUUAGAGAAUUUAGAACAAACAUCAAAGAAAACCAGAUGAAAUAAUUUACAGAGAGAUUAAACUAGAACCAGUUAAUAUUAACAAGUAUAAAUGCCAAGAUGGGACGAUAUGCCCAUGCAGUGAACUCCCUCUGAAAAAUUUGAUCAUCAUCAAUAUAUCCAGCAGAAAGAAUAUAACAAAGACCUGAUUAGAUGCCUUUCAAACCUCAUAUCUAUUUCAAGCAUGAACUAUCUAAUCAAUCCAUUCAAAAGAAUAGCACCAACAAGAUACACAAGAGUACCCUUGUCGCUAACAAUUAAAGAGUGGACGUAGCUCUGUACUAGCUAUGCUGACAAUAAGUGUACCUCAAGCUCCUUUCAUCCACAAUCCCUACAUAAGCAUGAGGAUGCCAUUUGUGUGUCCGGAGAAUCCACGACUGUAUAGAGCUUAAAAAAUAGUGGAUCCUGCUAAUAUCAGCAAACUCCAAGAAUAGACCCACCUACUAGUAGCCAUAUUAUUUGGACUUACAGGCCCGUUGAGAUUUCACUCAAAAGGACGGUUCAGAUCAACCUCUUCUUCCUGAUUAGAUCUAAGAAAUCUUUCAUAACUUCUACGACACCAGAGUUCUGUUCCUGAUCAAAUUGAAAUGCCUUGACUUGCAAGGAAUUUAAUUAUAUAGUUUAUCAUUUAUUUAUUCAUUUUGUUUGUAAUGAUGACAACAGGGUUCAUAGAAAUCCACCUGGUCUGAGAAUUUUAGGCUGUUUCUGGUCCUACCAGUUUUGCUAAAACAGUCCAGUUCACAGAGAACCCUGUCAUGGUUGUGAUUGUGCAAACACGAGCUAUAUAGUGGAAAGCUAUCAGCAAGCUACAUGUGCUUGUAUCUCUAUACCAUUCACAUUGGUCAGAUUGCUGCUUAUCAGACUAAAUAUAAAGCCAUAAACACUUCAAAGAAAGCAAGUAAAACACAUCAAACUCAUUUCCUUUGCCUAGGUGCAACAAUAUUUCCACAUGGAAUGUCUGUUGGAACUCAGACACUAGGGUCAUCUCGUAGCCAGGUCUUGGUUCUGAUACCAGCCUCGAUAUCAUCUCCAUCCCUACUGCUGAUGUUGUCCCUGAUAGUGCUCCUAAUAAUCUACAUGGUUCAGGUCUGGACAACCCAUGAGAGGCUUAGUUGGAUAUGCAUACUCCUCAUGGGGAGGGUAAGGUUAUGGAGGGAUGUAUUCCUCAUGAUAUAACGACUGGCUAUACACAUGGGGAUCAUACCGUUGAGUGGGGUCAUAAUGUUGACUCUAGCUGUCUAAUUCACUGAUAGAUCUAGUGGGUGAGGACCAUGAAUAUCGUAAGAUUCUGAUACAUCCAAGAGACCUACUUGACAUGGGACAUCAUCAAGAUCAUCAACCAGGUUGCAUGCUCAAGCAAUGCUGAGUCCCCUCCAAUCCACUCGGAGUGCGACAUCAUUGCUCGAGUUGUAUGCUCGAACAAUCUAGGGGCCGCUCCAAUCAAUUUGAGGUGUGAUCAUCAAUGGAAUCGCAUGCUAGAACAAUCCUGAGUUUCCUCCAAUCCCCUCAAGAUGUGACAUUAUCAGUCAGCUUGCAUGCUUAAACAAUUCUAGGACCCUUUGAUAUGGCCUCAACCUAGUAGAUGACUAGCCAUGCUCAGUGGUCCAGAUCCUUGGCGCAUUGAAACCACUAGGCCCACAUCAUAGCCACUAGGGCCAUCAUUAGCCGAGCUAUCAAUAUCAUCCUUACUAAUAUCCUAGGAUGAUCUGAGCAAGCCAGUAUCAGAGGGCUCGAGAGUCUUGUUAUCAUCAUCUUGGACAAGUACCUUGUCUAUUGCCUCCAAAGAAUUUGUUGCUUUUCUUAACCUUCUUCCUCCCAGUCUAGCUACUCCUCUAACAUGAUGGGUGAGGCUUACUGCCCUUGCUGGCUCCACCCCUCUAGCUCCCUAGAGUGGCAUGGCUAACCCUAACACUCCAAUUGCCCUAGCCCCCUGGCUAGGCCUACUAGAUGGCUCUUAAGUCUCAUAAGUUAUGGUCGCCACUUGCCCCCACCAUCUGACAAUCAAACCAUUUGUUAGGGUUCUCCAACUAGCCAUCAUCUCCUCCACUAGCGCUUGCCCCUAGCCAGCAUAUGGAGAUGGCAUGUUCUCCUCUACCUACUGAUUAACAUCCAACCUUGUUGGCUUUCUAAAGAUAUGGCUAGUCUAGGAGGAUCAUCCAGCUCAUCCAACUACAAGUCACCCUGGUUGGAUUGGUCUUCAAGCCAUCCUACCAUCAAGUCCUCCCAUCAUAAAUGAAGUCCUUAACUCAUGGAUCUUUGAACUUCUCGUGCCACUUUCUGAUGAACUUAAAUUUCAACAAUGGGUCUUAGUAUAUUCUUGGACCAUAUUCUCUAGCCUUCUCUAUGUGAGGCAAUUUCUUUGCUAUGGAUGAGAGCAAAUAUGGAGUGGUUCCACAAGCAGCCACUAAACGAGACAAUCUAGGAGAGGAUCUAAGCUACAAUCAUUCUCAUGUGGUUGCAGACGUGUCAUAAUGGAGCCAUCGCUCAACUGCAAGCACAAAUGGAGACAAUCAUUCUCAUCCAUAGCAAUUUCUUGUUAUGGAUGAGAGCAAAUAUGGAGUGGUUCCACAAGCAGCCACUAAAGGAGACAAUCUAGGAGAGGAUCUAAGCUACAAUCAUUCUCAUGUGCUUGCAUAUGUGCCAUAAUAGAGCCAUUGCUCAACUGCAAGCACAAAUGUUGCAUAUAAGUCCUCAAUUUCAGAGCAAAACUUAGAAUUGGAGCUCGCUUAGGAUAAUAACUAGACCAUUCUUGUAUCUGCUAGUGGUUGCUCCCGGCUCGGCAAAACUCUUCAUGGCUUCUGUAAGUCUGUAACUGGUUUUGUCACAUACAAUGGUGAUGGUUGCUUUAUGCUUGAGCCUAUAUACCACAUUUCCCAAGGAAAAAAGAAAUAUUCUUUUAACAAUACCUGAAUAGCGAUCCCCUUGUACCAAAGUGAAAUAAUUCGUCUCAUGAAAUGAAUGUCUAUCCAAAAUCCACAUCCCAAAACUCACCCACAAUUGGGUAACAUAAAUUUCCUUGACUGUAUGAAAAAUUCUUGCCACCAUUCAAUCUUAACAAAAAUGACGGAAAAAAAAAAACAUGAGAAAGAAAAAUCCCAGAUUCCCAGUUGACAGCUAAAAGAUCGGCAUCUCGAAUUAGUAACUUGGGCUAAAUUUUCCUUUAAAUUGGGUGAGAAAUCCCAAAACCUAAGAUUGAAUCUUGAUUCUUCUAAAUUCCCAUAAAGCUCUUAACUUUCAGGAGAUCUCGAUGCAAGGAUUAAAGGUUCAAUUAAUUUCAUACAAAUUCCUUUAUUGUAAGCUACUUUCUUUUUCUUGGUAGGAUCAGGAUUCAGGACUCACCAGAUGUUUAAAAAUGAGGAACGCGAUGAAGAAGAAAAGGAAGAAGAGGAUCUCGAACUCGGCCAGGCGGACGAAGGCGAACACCGCGCCCACCACCCUCGUAAGCAGCGACUCCCGCCGGACCGGGCCGCCGCCGCCGCCUCGCCUCUGCAUCGCCGUUCUUUCGGAUCACUUCCCGAGCUUCCACGAGAAAAAAAAGGCGCUUCCAAUUGAUUAGUUAUCGUGCAGCAAAAUUUUACUAUAUUAUAAUAUGGAUAUCUUAAAAAUAAAAAAUAUUAAAAAUAUUUUUUUUAUUUUUAUUUAAAAGUAUUGAAUUGCAUGACCAUCUCAGAUCUCUCCAGGCAGUACUUAAAUUUAUAGCGAUGGGUUUUCAAAGUUUUCUUAUUUUCUUUAGGAUACGGAUAAUCUAGAAAAUAAAGAGAUAAAAACAAGAAAACUGUCUCCUAAGUCUAAUAGAACUUCUAAUUUAUUUAAGAAGUAUGUUUAGAAGAAAAGAGUGAACAAAGCUGACUAACAAUAUUUAAAAAAUAUCUUUAUUUAAGAUUGUAUUAGUAUCACUGCCAGUUUCUAGUUUUUGAAAAGCUAAAAAAUGAAGCAAAGUUUCUAUUUUUAAAUUUUAAAAAUAUAAAUAUGUUUAGUAUGGUCGAUUAUUUUUAAAAAUAUAAACUUGUAAGAUUGGUGGUGAUGGUAAUAAUGGCAAUAGUGAUAUUUGGUAAGAAUGGAGGAGGUGAUAAUAAUGGAGCGGUGGGGGCCAUAAUGAUGAUGGUGGAGCCACCAACGGAAUAACAACAAACGAUAGUAGUAGUUGUAGUAAUAUUGUCAACAAUCAUGGUAAAAAUGAUAGUGACCGAGACGAUAGUACAUAGUAGACUAGUAGCAACCAUGGUGAUAGUAACAAUGAUAAAGAUAAAAGAAAUUCUUUUCCUCUUUUAAGAAAAAUGAAAGACACUUUUAGUAGCUCUUCAUUUUUUGAAAAUUAGACCGUGGAUUUCUUAAAAACAAAAAACAAUUGAUUUAUCAAACUUUUAUUUUUUGCUGCAAUUUUCAUAUUUUGGUUUUCUAAAUUAAAAUAAAAAAUUACAAUCGCACCAAACAUGGCCUAUAUUUACAAAUAAUAUUUUUUUAAAAAAUAACUAGAACUUCAUCAGCAAUCACGAGUUUUCAAUAAAUCGGAUGUAUCUUCCUCAUCUGAUCUACUCUUCAGACAAUUCAAGAUGUUUUGAAAAGCUAACCCGAUGUUAGAUAUAAUAAAAAAAAGUCUCACUCGAAAAUUCUAUCUAUACUAAUAAGUAUAAAAUUUCCUUCUACAAAACUUGAGCUUAUUGGGACACCUGGUCAGAGUCAAAUGCCACUUUGAAAUCUUUCAUGAAGUUGUGCUAGAGUAUGACCAGCAAUGGUUAGUUACACCACCAAUGACUGCAAGAGUAGCUCAACUACACAAGUCAAAUAUUAUGAGGGAGUCAGCUGCAGAUCCUUUUCUCCAUUUAUAUGGGAGAGUUAUGCCAUUUUGUAUUUGGUUUGUUAGGUGAUUUUGGAUUGGUGCUUUAAUCAUGCAUGCAUCUCCUCUCACAAAAGAGAUGGGGAGAAGACAAAGGCAUGGACCCACCAGUCCUUCCUCCAAGCCCUGUGAGCAUUCAUGUGAUGGGCCUCAGUAUUGGUGUCCCUUUAUAAAUCUUGUUUUUUUCCAUGAUGUUUGUGGCAUGCACAGUGACCAUCAUUUUGGUCCUGCAUGCAUAUGGAGAAGACUUUCCAGACCGACAGAUAGAAGAGACGAGAGGUGAAAGUAAAAAGCGUUAACCCCCCCAGAUCCCACACUCAGAAAGCCUUUCAGCCUCCAUUCCUCCACAGAACUUUAUCUGCCCCUCUCAAGGCUCCAACUCGCCCUCGGCCACCUUUUCUCCAUACCAUUUUUCCCACCUCCAUCUCCUCUUACUUCCCCCAGCAAAACUGAAGCCUCCUUGAUUCUCCCCUCUUUUAAACCACAAAAGAAAGAAAUCCUCCUCUUCCUCUGAAGAUAGCGAGUGAGAGAGGGAGAUGACUAACAAACUGGGAGCUCUCUCUCACUACCUCCUUUUCCUCCUCUUCAUAGCUACUCUUUCUGAUGGGCUGAGCUCAGGUCAUGUGAGUUUUUCCAUCUUUGCUUACUUGGGCAUGGAUGCGAGCUCUACUUCGCUUGAUUCUAAUGGGAUUUGUGCCAUGCAUCUCGGCAGGGUCCGUCGAGCGACUCAGCAGCGAUGAAGCCAGUGGCUGUGCUCGGGACUUUGGCACUGAAUGAGACCAGAAGGAGGCUUGGGAGCUUCCAGCUAUGUGCUCUCUGUACCUGCUGCGGAGGUCCCCAAGGAAUCUGCCUCCCUUCUCCCUGCUGCUAUGCCAUCAACUGCCACAUACCUAAUAGACCCUUUGGCUUCUGCUCCUUUGCACCCAGGGCUUGCAACUGCUUUGGAUGCCAUCUCUGAUCCAUAUGUCUUCCAUCUUGUUUAUGCUUUUGGUCUCUACUUGCUUAGUUUUUACGUUGGAAGUUUUAACUUGGGGGGAAGACAGAAUGAUCGUCCCCCCUCCCUGUAGCCAAACGGCAUUGCCUCUGCGCAUUAGUACUUCAUUGACAGUAGCAUUAUUAUAAGAAGUGGACCUGUUUCUGGUGGGCUCUUUUUUUUUUUGCCUCCCUCUUUGUAUAUAUCUGAAUACAUCCAAUAAAAUUAUAAAAAAAUUAUUAUAAAAAACUAUAUAUGUGGCAACAAAAUUUAUUCAUAAUAAUUCAUCAAAAUAAUUCUGAUGCCAUCCAAUUUACCGCACCAUCGGCUUUCCAAUAUACAUAAGAAACAUGAAGGGGAUGAGAGUCCAAUGACCUUUUUUUGUUUAGAAUCCACCCAUUAACUAUCAUGGAGUCUCCUUAAUUUUAAAAGAAUGUGGUUGGCCCUCAGAGAAUACCAUGCAUACUUGGGUCCCUCCUAUGCUCCUUUCAGUUCUGCACCGGGGACUAUCAAUAUCAAACAGAUGAGAGGCCCUCAAGCUUAGGUGCAAGGUUCUUGUGCUCAUAGCUAAGGUGUUCCUGGACUUAAAAGGCUAGUGUGGUGCUUGUGGAAUUAGAGAUAUAGAUACUGAUAUAUGCACUGUUUCUUUAACAUAUGCACUCUCUUGUUUAUUGUCUUUCCAAAUAUUGUCCAGAUAGAGACACACAGGGAUGGUGCACCUGUCAACUAAAGAGACCAUGGAUCCCAAGUUUGAAUGUUGGCUUUGAUAUUUUUGACAAGUCGCUGUAAAACAAAAAAAUAGAUUUGUUGUUCUUUUAUGGAAUUAUUUUAUUGGUUUUGAGAUUGAUAUGAAUCAUUAUUGAAUUGUGCUGUGUCGUCCCAAGCCCGGCUUCCACCUCGCACGACGCCCGAAAGCGUUGUCUUGAUUGGAGGCCUCCAACGACGCUUUCAAGUGUUGUCUGUUCUUUCAUGCUUGCUGACACUCUAUAGAAGUGUCGGCAAAUUUUGGCACCAUAGCCAAAAUUACCGACGCCACUUCUUAGUGCCGGCAGUCAUAAGUUGGCUUUGCCCAAUUUUGCUAUUGUGACUAUGUUGUGAACUUGCACCAAUCAGAAAUACCAAUGAUAGUGGGAGUUGGAUGGAGGCAUUUAAAGAUUAUUGUCUUGUGGUGUGGGAUUAGAUACUGCGACACUACUUAAGUGACCUAGAUUGUUUACUUACUUUUCCCUCAUUUGAGCAUGGAAUUAUUGUGGUCAUGUGAAAGCAGGAAAGAAGGGAGGCCAACAAUAAAAGGUGCAAGCCUUGUGCUUUCAGUCCUCACAGUACUCUUUGGUUGACAAAGAGUAACAACUUCCAAAGAGGUUAAAGUGAGAGAUGAACAGGGUCCAAUGGAAUUGCAACCUUUUUCAGCCUUACAAAAUUUUCCUAGGAGACAUACUGUCUUGAUGCAUUUGGGAUUUCAUGAAAUUGGACCCCACAUCCUUUAUUGCAAUUUGUGGUGCCAUGGAUAGCCUCUUUGGAGAGACUUGAGGAAUCUCAUUGACCUCCAUUCUGGAUGCAGUGCACCUCCAUAUAAUUACAAUGAGGAUAUAUUAGUAGCCUUGGGGGAAUUAUUCUAUUAUUAAGAUCCUGUUUGGUCCAGGAUAUGUCAGGGCCUUGCUUUUGAAACUCAUGAUCUUGUCUGCCAUUUAGAACCAGAUUAAUACAAACCUGGCCUUCAGCUCUUGCUGCUACCUUGGUGCAUUGUGAGUUGGGAACUAUUUGCCUCUAGUGAGCUUCAAUGAGUUGUUAAAAUUUUCUAUAUUGUACUCUAGAGGGCAUCAAUCCAUUGGAAGCAAUACAUAAAUAGAUAGGCUUCAUUACUCGAUAGCUGCCUUCUAAAAUCAUUUAAUCAUUACAUCAGGGAAAAAAUAUUAUUAAAUAUGUAGAAAUUGUAACUCAUGAUUGCAUAUAAGAAUGAUUCAAGCGCGAAAUGACCCGUAAUAUAUGCAUCUAUUACCAAUAUAUCUCUAUCUACUAAGCCAAAUGUGUGCGCAUUUAUGUGAUGAUGGAGGUGUAAUGGUUGAGCAAAAGUAAAAUUGGACCAUUUGUGCAAGAACAAGUAAAUAAAGGUAACCUAAUUUUGUAAAUAGAAAACAAAAUGAUAUUUUUUAGCUAAUUUUCCUUGAUGUCAUCUCUGAAAAUUAUUGUUUGAGAUUGUCUAGUUGAAAACCAUGAAAUUGAGCAUGUUCUACACAUUGGCCAUGAACUACACAUAUCAUAAACAUACAUAAAUUAAAAUUCUGUUGCUUUAAUUAUUUCAAAAAUAUGACCGAGAAAGUCAGUUGCAUUGUUAUAGAAAAUUGCGUAAUUAUUACUCGAUGCAUCUAAGGAUAACGAAAAAACCUCCAAAAUACUUUGCCCUUCACUUUCGAACAAGUAGGAGUAUUUUAAUUCUUAGGUCGUGAUUUUAUGCUUUCAUUUCUCCCAUUUUUUAGGUUAGUCACCACAUGUUGUAACGCGAUGCCAUGAUUAUGUCAACCAUGGAACUUGUGAUGUGUGCACAAGUGUGCCAAAAUGUUUUCUCAGUCACCUGAAUGUUCAAAAAUUCAUGCCAUCCAUAAUCUACACACCUUAUGUUUUCAAACAUAAGUUAAAACAAACAAUGCAUCAUAAACAUUUGCCAUGUUAUAAAAACAAAUCAUCCACUCUAUGUUAAUUAAUCAUCCUUUCAUUUUAGGGCAAUUAGACAGGCCUAAAAGCCAAGAGAGGGAUAGAUCCAAAUGCUAUGCAGGUACAACUUCAAACAUGUUAAAAUAUUUAUAAGCUAGCAUCCAAUGUAACGACGAAAAAAUAUUAAGCAUCCAUAAGCAGAUUGAGAAGACAAAUUUAAGCAAAAUCAUUGAGAUGAAGGCCAUAAACUGCCACUCCAGAUAGUUAAAUAUGGUAUUAAAACUAAUGAAUAUGCUUGCUUUUUGAGAAAUUCUGCUACAUGAAAGACUUUGAGUGCAUCCAAGGGCUUUCACCAAUAAGAGAACAUUCCUAUCCAUCAGAUCUGAACCCUUCUGAGUAGAUCCAUUUAUUCAUCUAACAACAUUUUGCACAUAAAAUAAAAAGAAAAAAGUAGUUACUAUGUCAUCAGAAAACAACUUGCGGUGUAGUUUAACACAACACCAAGAAGACAUAAGGAGUCUGCUGUUCUCUGUUUUCUUCAUUGACGAAGAACUGAUCAGAACAUCACAUCCAUCUUGGAGACACUUGAACAACACUUUGGCGGGGCCUUAUUAGCUGCUCUGAGCUAUUCCUCUUCUUCUUGUUCGAGGAGACAGUCGGGCUGAAAUAAUCAUGACUCCUUUGAGGCAAAGCCGCAGCUUGCGAGCGUGCUUUUCUCACAGGGAUUACGGUGCGCUGCUUCUGUAAAGUACCAUUACAUGCUAUUGAGUUCCUCCGAGUAGAAUUCCAUCUGCUGUAGUUCAUGCAGCUUUGGCUCCUGCCACCAUGCUGAAACAUGUUCUCUUUGGGACUUGGGAAGUUUCUGCUCUCCAUAGUUUCAGCCGAGUACAUAGUUUCCUCCCCACUACUAGACCCAUCCCCCUCAUUUCGAAAUUCAGAAACCUCCAAUGGAGAUGAACUGGACUGCACCUCACUGCAGCAAUCCUCUUGGCAUGAACCAACUGGGAGAACUUUAUGAUCUGCUUCAGAAUUGGCUUGUGGCACCUCCCAUGUUGCAUUACCAUUUUCUCUCGAUGAAUUUCCAUGUUUAGGUUCUUCAACAUUUUUUUCAUUAGAGAACAAAAGAGGGAGCGGUAGAACAAUAGAUCUUGAAGCUCUUGGGGGGAAAUUAAUAUCCAAGAGCUGGACUGGGGCAUGUUCCUUCUUCCUAACUGGCCCAGAUGUCAGCCCUGGGGAUUCAAAGAUGUCAGGAGUCAGAAUUCCCUGCUCAUGGGCUGCACGUAAAUCAACAGGUGGGUUUUCCCCUUGGGAAACUUUUGCAUUAGUUAUACUACUUGAUCCAGUCUCAUAUGUAGAUUUUGAAGCUAUCUGUGAGGAUGAUGGGACAUCAUUCUCCUCCUCGAUAGACUUGAAUACCUGACGCAUGGUGAAGGAAGCACAAGAAUGCUCACUCUUCUGUCCAGAGGACAUCAGUCGAAUGAGAGGCAACUUGGGCUUGCUGAGCUCAUCCAAGCUGCCCUCCCAGUGCUGAUGCAACCAAUCACAGAUGAUAGGAAUUGGGAUCCCGAACUGCAUAUGUAAAUCCUUCUUCCAUGACAGUGAUGAUGAAGAAGAUGCAGAAGACGAUCUUGCAGUAGGAGAUGAGGCAAGUUUCAUGGGAUCACAGACCAUGAAAGCAAGAUUUCCUUGGACAUCAAAACCAGCAGAUCCAGGGCACCAUGUCACACCAUCUGUCGAGAGUUUUAUGAGAUUGUCAGUGGCUAUCGCUACUUUUCCCUCAUCAACAAUCAGCUCCUUUUUAUCUGUGCGCCCUAAAAGGUAGACCGUGCAGCCCAGAUCCAGGCUCGGGUUGCUGCAGGUCUUCAAGUAAUGAGGAUGCUGUCCCUGUGAAGUUGAGUCAGCAUCCACAGUGUCAAGCCCCACAAUUGUAAGAUCAAGAACAGAACUGGUAAUGAAAAAUCUGGAAAAAGAAUGACAAAUAGAAGUUAGGAUAACUAUUUCAUUAGCUUAACUAACCCAAAAAAGAAAGAAGAAAAGAAAAACAAAAGAGGCAUGAAGAUUAUACACCCUGAUCAUAAAUGCAGUUAUGCCAUGCACUAUCUUUUGUCAUGAACAAAACGUAUACGUUCUAAUGAAUAGAUACAUGCAUUGUUUCAGCAAAAAUAGAUACAUGCAUUUUCAGAAGAAUAAUGCAAUACAACCCAGAUUAAAUUCAUAGAACUAGAACUGCAAAUGAAGUCAUAUAUAUAGCUUAGCCCAAGCGAAAACUAGGAGACAAAAGAUUAAUUUGUCCCAAUUUAUUUAGUUGGCAUUUCAUAUAGCCAAAACUAUGGAUUUAUCAGAGAUAGUACUUAUUAUCAGGAACAUAAAGAUCCAUUUUUUGUUCAAUAGUAAUUGACCAGGUGAAUAUCUGCAAAGUGUGACUGAUCUUUGGUAGUGACCCAUGGCAAAAUCAUGUAACUAAUGGAUUAAAAAAGAGUACACGAGACUGCACCAACUUUCAGGGUUUAAACGUUCCACUUUAUGAACAUAAGUCUAUACAAUGAAGCAAUAUAAGUUAAGGAGAUAGUUUUAUGUUGAAUUGCUGCAUAAAAGCAAGUAAUAUGAUACUGAUAUGUCAUUCCUGUUAAAAUUUAAUUAGUAGUUAGUUAAGUCAAUAUCCUCAGCCGGUCACAUGAUGCAACAAAAUUUCAGCGGUUGACCACCAGUAAAAGGGUAUUUUAGUCUUUUGGAUACACAUAAUGUCAGCCCAACUUACAUUAAACUUAAUGGUACGCCAUAUAUACUGGUUGGCUUUAUGUGAUGAUGCAUUAUCCAGUAAAGUUCGAGAAUUUCAUGGCUGUCUUGUAAACUGGUGCAGGAUUUCGAGCCCAGGCAAUUUUGAGAAAGAAAUAGAACUCUUGAUUAAAAAAAAAAAAUUAACCCCCUAAGUGGAAGGAGAUCUGUUUCAAUCUGAACAUUUUCCCUUCUGAAAAAGACAUCAAACCAGAUCUUGAUUAUUUCAACCAUCUCAGAUCCUAGAUGUGAAUACAGCUCCAAAACCCCAGUCAAAAAGAAGGUGAAAACAAUUGAUUUUUAUCCCAUUCAUUUCCCUCCAAGCAACGAAAAACAAGAUAAGGAACUUCAAGAUCUAAGUGCUGAUCACUAAUCCUUGAAAAAUUCAUUUCUCCCUCACACUUUNNNNNNNNNNNNNNNNNNNNNNNNNNNNUGGUUGAUUGUGAUUGAUGAUGCCUCUCUUAUCAAUGCACAAGUGCAAAGAGGAAUGUAUUAUAUGGCCUCUCUUUUUUUUUAGAAGAAUAUGGGAAUCCACCCAUCUCCAUUUACAAAAUGUACUCUAUAGCACACAUACGUGAUCAAAUUUAAAAUGACAUAAUGCACAUGCAUGCUAAUCAAUGAUGUAAUAUGAUUUGCCAACCAUUCAAGCUGUUUAUCUGCAGCUCAUUGUAUGCGGAGCUCCAGGCUCCAGCACAUACAUGUGAUUAUCUUUAACCACAAUUAUUGGUGUACACUUAAAUUUGUAAGGAUCAUCAUACAAUCUGAUCUCUAUCACCAUCUGCAGUUGGUAAGAAAUGCUCUGUGAGUUUGUGUCUAGUUUCUCUUCGAUUGUGGCAUUUUUCUCACCCUAACAGUUAGUCAAGGUAUCCCUAAAUGCAGAAGGGAAUUUAAAAUGUUUUUUAUAAUCCUCCAAAAAACAGAAAGCAAAUAUGACAAGUGGACCCAAGAAAACUCUACAAUAAUGAUGUAACUGCAGAAAUCUAUAGGGCUAGCAAUUAGAACAAAUGUGAUGUAAUUAGACUUCAAAAAGGAAGUAGAACUAUUUGAUAAGCAUCCUCUUCCUUUGGUCAAAAAUGUCUUGCAAAUUCAAAACUUGUACAGAAAUAAUUUUGAUGUUGUAACAGAUAGAUAUUAUCCAAGAUGAGUACCAUAAUACUCCAAAGAAAAAUUUAGGAAAAAAUUAAGUUUGUACCAAUCUUCGCUGUGUGCUACAACUGAGAAAUAAAAGCCAAGAACAAUAAGCAUCAAGCUACCAAGUUCUUUCCAAACUUAGUCCAAUGCUAGCAAGGUUUAUGCAGACUCAUCAAGAUCUUGGUUCAGCAUUAUCCUUUAGUGUUUGCUAUAACUGCCCAUGUUCCCUAUCAUAGAGGUGACUACUAUGGCAAUUGUGAUUGUUAUUCGAGGAAAACUCAUGGACAAGGCUUCCACAUAACCUAGUGAUGAAAAAUCUUGAGAUAUUGUUGGCCAAAAUGGCCAGUCAGCAAAUUAUACUUCUGAUAUUAACAAUAUUCAACCAUCAGGAUAUCAAAUUAUACUUCUGGAGUUAUGAUUUUAUGAGGAUCUCAGAUGAACCAAAUGAAAAUAAUCCAUCUUAUUGAUGGUCGCUUCUACAAGUACAUAGCCAAUAAAAAUUAUAUCGGCAUAUACAUUAAAAUGAUAGCAUAUGAUGACAAACUUGAAGAAUAAAUAGAACACUACAUGUACUUCAAGCUCGCUAUGCACUUCUCUAUCAAAAAUGGGCCAACUAUUGAAACUGGAGAUAACUAUUCAUACAAGAUGGCUCAAACA